AAGUCUAAGUCGUUAACAGAUACGAUAUGGGAAGGUUGAGCUGCUGUUUAUCUGUUCCUAGAGAUGCUAGAAUUCUAGAGAAUUUUAUCUUUGAAAAUCUUUAAAAUGUUGCAUGAUGAGUUCCUGUAUGAUGAGAGUUUAAAUUCCUACCACAGCCAUAUAUACAUGCUUGCUAAACUUUGAGCCACACAUUUACUUUUUACUGCUUAUGAGCAUUGAGUGUGGUCAAGCUGUGUAGACCCUUAGGAGCUUGUCAUGUGGUUAAGUCAAGAUUCACUUGCACGUUCACUCACACAUGCUGCUUCUACUCCGGAAGUACGCAUCCACAUAUAUCCACCCAUUUCCAUCUUCAGAACCACCCAAAAAUAUUCUACUCCUAAUCCGGGAGAGAAUAGCAAAAAACAUUUCUAUUUUCCCCUGUAAAAUAAAUACUCAAGUUAUCUUGUUACUACCACUUGCUAUAUUAUCUCAUGAGAUGAGUGCUCUAAAAAAAGAAGAGAGAGAGAAAAAAAGUGAAUACGAGAAAAUAAAAAGGGGCAACUGCCCAGAACCUCGAAAGAAAAGAAAAAGUGAGACGAGAGGUAAAAAUGGACAAGUGUCCGACAGUAGAAUUAGGGGUACAAGAUACCCACCUGAGAGAAAAGAAAAAAAAGAGAGAAAAUAUAGAGCAUCUCAUUCUCCUCAAAAAGUUUCAAAAGAGCAAGAAAGGUAUGUAUCCCCUCAAAAGAGCACAAGUAGAAUUAGACUUUCACUAUUGUUAUCACCAUCAUCACCAUACACCAUUCAUUCGCCACACAUGCACAUCUUGAUUUGACUUAUUGACUUGUUCUUCUGGAUCCAUGGUUUGACUAUACAAUAAAUGUCUUGUAAGUAUGUAUUAGCUGUCUCCCACCUAUGAGCUCCAGAUAUCAAAACCUUAUUAGAGUAGGGUGAGAGAGAAGGCAAUGCCACUAUGCCUUAUACCACAAAUACCACAUACUUUGAGAGAAGGCAUAUACCAUCACUGCCUUGGUAAGGAUCCAGAAAUACCACAAAAGAGAGACUAGAGAGAGUCAUAGAAGGAAUCUCUGAGUUUUAUUUGAAAAUCUGCAAAAACUCCAGAGCUAUAGUUAAUCGAAGAACAAGAGACAUGGCGCUUGACUAGACCGUUCUAUCUUUUAACUACUCAAGAUACAAGUGACGGUUGCAAGCCCCAUGGUGGAAGGAAAAAUGAGUAAAUUUAAAUCUUAACAGUUUACCCUAACCCAGAGAUGAGAUCUUGUUUGAACGAAUGUAUUGAAACCACUGCAAAAAUUCUUGAGUUCAUCUUUGCUCAGGGACGAGCAAAGGUUAAGCUUGGGGGAGCUUGUUGACGGUCCUUAAUACUCACAUUUAACCAUCAACCAAUCAUGGAAAAAGACUUAUAUGCAGCCAACACCUAGACUUAGGGUUUCAUCUGACAGAAUUCCACGAGUUUUGAUGUUUGUCUAUUUCUGUAGGGGGUUAUCAGGAAAUAUGAAAGAAAGGCCCACACGUCGGGUUUACAUAGAGAUAUUAACGUGCCGCGCAAUUUCCUACCAUCUAGAAGACUCCAGAAGCCACGGGAACGAACGGAAGGCCGAUCGGGCCCGGGGGUAGGGCGCCCGCCCAAGUCCCUUGGGUGCCCGCCCAGCUACAGUAACCAAUCAGCUUCAACUUCGCGGAUCGUGCUCCACCAACCUAAGGGACCAAGGAAACCCGUGCGAUUAAUGUCGGUUCGAUCCGACGGCCCAGAUUCAUCUGAAAAGACUAUAUAAGCAAGGCCCCCUGGCCCCUGGAGAGCAUACCUCUUCUACAGAAUCAAAGCUAGGGUUCCAAUUCUUCAUCCAAGUAGAGAGGAUCCCUCUAGUUCUUUUAGUUCUACCUCUAGUUCAUCUAGAUCUAGUUCUAGUUCAUCUAGUUCUAGUUCUAGUUUCUCUAGUUCUAGUUCCAGUUAGUUCUAGUUGUAAUCUAGAAAAUAGGGAGAGAGAAGAGGAGAGCGGAGGAGGAGCUGGAUCUGCCGGAUCUUCCUCAACAUUAUACUUUUGCAGCAUCUGGUUCGUUCUUCAUCGUUCUCCAGGUUCUUCAAUUCAUAAUUCCUAAGUUCUUUAAUUACUUUUAAUUACAUUCAAGUUAUUUAUUGGAUUCCCGCUUGCAUCAAGUGCCCUAGUCUUUAUAACGCUAGAGUAGUAAUUUAUAGAUUAGACGUGGUGUUUAGUCUUGCGAUUACCUGGAAUUGCACCCAAUCCUGCGGAUCGUUGUGGUAGCCUUAGGGUAGUGACAGCCCUAAUGGUCGACGUAUUCCACCACGUUCGGAUCGGUGUUUGUAGGACCGUAGUCAGACCUUCCUAGCCCCCUUCUCAUCUCUUUCUGUGGUUAGUGCUCUGAUGUCCCGAUAUAGAUAAUCUUGAAGUAAUUCUUGAUUCUUAGAUCAACUAGAGAACUCUCAGGAAACUUCCUCUCUUCCCACCAAAAAUAAUUAUAUAGUUAUCCUUGGGCGAUCUUGAAUCUUAAUUAGUACACUCACGUUCCCUGUGGAAAAUCGAUACUCUGGAAUACUCCCGGGUGAAAGCUACAUCGGUAUUCGUGCGCUUGCGGAUUUUUCUGUUUGCGUUUAAAAUACCCAACAGUGAGCAUCCUUUGAUUUUCCACCAUCAUUUGCAUCAGCUCAGCUAGGUUUGGUGGUGGAGGAGGAGGGGGUGGGUUCAUGUUCACACGCUGUUUCGCACCUCGAGUGCCACGAGACAUCUGUAGAAAUACAGUCAGUGAGUAUUGAUGAUGACAAGAUUUGCCGUAGAAGAACUUAUAUUCAUGCCUAAAAGUAUUCGAAAGAAUAGCUUUACGAAAAAGGCACAAUAAUUGAAUUCCACAAAACAACAUCACCAAUCCAACACAUGACAGAGAUAUCCGUAAUAUGCACAACACGGAAAACAUCGUCACAACCGAUCGAACAUGAUAAUCGUUAACACAUUGGGUCCAUAAAGUUAUUACACCAUCCCAGUACAUGACAUAGUCAAGGAUCAAGGUUUUGGAUUACAACAUGAUUACAAAAGCACCACUGCUAACUGCCAAACUACAAAAGAUCCUCACACAACUACGCACUACACUCCAGGCUCGUCGCCCGAGUCAGCGUCGAAGAUCGCUUCUCCAUCCUCGUCGCUAACCGGCUCAAGCUCCUCGUCCUCCACGUCCUCGUGCAAAGGUGGUGCAGCCGCUACUGGUCCAUCUACCUCCAUACCAUCAUCAUCGACCACAAUCACCUGAGGUCCCACCUCUGGAUACACGGGUACAGGGCGAGGAAUAGGGUGUAGCAAGUUGUUGAGACAGUGAAUCUCCACAAGACCAGCCUCAAUCUGAUCUUGCAGAUAGUUCUCCCGCUCAAGCGACUGGAUCCGGUGCAUCUCCCACGCCCGGCGCCUGUUCUCCGACAUACGGAGCGCAGUAUCCCUCUCUCGAGUGACCUGCACCAAGCGCUCCUGCACAGUCUCCCUCUCUCUAGCCAACUGACCCAUCUGAUCCUACUUAUGAUCUCUCUCCCUGAUGGCCUUUACCCAUUGCUGCCUACGGUACUCCGUAAUGCCUUCCCAGUCAAUGCGGUCCUUCUGCGCUCGCUCCAGGAGUCUAGCUUGCCUGCGAAACUUACGAGCACGUUUUUCAGCCUUCUGUUGCAUCUCCUGAGCCUGGCGAACAGCCACCAUCACCUGUGCGUAGGUGUCCUCUCGCUGGCUAAACAGCUUGAGCACAGCCAUCAUAGCACUCAUAGCAGGACUGGAACUCUCAGCUUGCUCUCUCUGCCUUGGACCAACGCACAUCCAUCAACCUGCUUCCACUCCGCUGUUGCUGGGUCAGCACGGGGUAUGGAGGCCGCUGGCCCUCCUGUCAGCUCAUCGCCAAACCUCUGACAGAUGUUGAGCAGCAUAGCAUGGGUUGCAACUUGAGCUGCUUCCCAUGGAGUCUGCCCAUCGGAGUUGUAGGUCCACCCUGUCCACACAAGCUUGCCCCCGUGUGGUGGGACAACUCCCUGCAUAGCAAACCACUGCAACUCUCCGGUCAUAUCCACCUCCCACCAAGAGUACUGAGGUGGCUCAGUAUAUCCCACAGACUGCAACACCCUCCAGAGCAAGGUAGGAGUGCCAAACUCGCUCAAGAAGGUGUCACUGGAACGAGGUGAAGCGGGCACGUCCAUCUGUGGAAAAGGAAUAGGAAUACCAUGGGUAAGAGAGGAUUAAUUUAAGCAGCAUUUAUUUAAUUAAAAGGGACGACAUUGUAAGGGAAGGAGUAGACAGAAUGUAUGUAUGAAUGCGACAUGAUGCAUGCACGAACCGUACGUCCUCACAAACUUAGAAAAUUAAUAUUCUAACGGAUAUACGGUGGCAUACACUCGUCUCUCGAUACGAUAACUAGCGAUUUACACGCACGCUGUUAGAGUACCUACAUAAAACUUCAUUGCAGCCCAACAGUUCCCAAUAUAUCACUCAAGAAAGCAGUAAACUAAGUGCACAUUGCUUGGACAUGCCCCACAUGCACAAACAAUGACACCAUAACUACCCGAGAAAUUAAAUGCUCCCCAAUUAAGUUUCUUUCGUGGUUCCAUGGUUAGACAUGUAGCCACUCCAGAAAACCACCGCGAACACUCCCCUAGACCAUCGUUUGAACGAUCAUGCUCUCACAGCUCACACUUACCAGAGCGUAGGUGCGACGUUCUAUAAUUUAAAUCUAGCGACAUAUGUGGCUAAUUCACAUAUGAAGGCUACCUCUACCAUUAGACCACAGGGUAGCAUAGUGCGGUCAUCACACAUCCAUACCUGAGUACUGCCGGAGAUGCAUAAAAUAAAACCCUCCAAGUCAGUACUUAAAUAGCCACCUAUAGUCCUUAUAUGGGCAAGGAGGAUUCGACCACUGGCAUAACUUCAAUAUUGAUUUUCACAAUUUUAUUUAAAAACUCUUUUGUUUUUAAAUACACAAACGCUGCAUUUAUAAUGCUGAACUUGCUCCGAUGACAGCUGUCACAGAACCGACCAAAUUAUAAGAGUUCAAGUGUAGAAACGAUCGACAAGCAAUCAAGUUUCCAAACUUGAGCCCAUAUAAUCCCGUUAGUCAACUGAAAUCACGAAGGACUUCAAACCAACUUGCAACAAACCAAGAUUGUAAUAGUUCAACAUAACACAGCGAAUGUUACAUAGUCAUUCAUUGCCGUCGAAGCGGCACCACAUGUUUGUAGUAGCGGAAGCAAAAUAGUUACACACACUUUCCAAAGUUCAUUUCACAAGUUUGUGAUCAGCCAGAGUCUCAUGCCAUCCAUCCAAAAGCACAGGUACGAAAUAGUUAGUGAACCGUGCCCAACGGUUUAGUCCUCAUCCCUAGCGGGAUGGAGACAGGUCUUGCAGAAGUCAUCAUAAAAGAUAUCAUCUGCAACAGGUGGGAAUAAACCCUGAGUACGAGGAUGUACUCAGCUAGACUUACCUGUCUAGUAAAACAUAAAAGACACCAAGGAUCAUGCAAGGCUAAGUAUAUAGUGGAGCUGGUUUGACUUAACAAUUGCCAAAAGCUUAAUUAAUAGCUAUAUUAUUGUAAAAGCAUCAUAUUAAUCAUCAUUAACCUAUCACUAGAUUAGCACCUGUACUAAACAGGUCACUUGAUUGUUACAAGCAAUAAUAACCAUAUCAGGUUCAUCAUAUGCUCUUCCUUGCUAUCAUUAUUUUUUUAUGAACCAUUGUCCUUUAAUGAAUGCUGCGUUUGCCGCUGCUCUGUCAAGUUCUCACUAUCCGGGAGAGACGGCGAUUCGAAUCGAUUCCUAUCCAGCUGGAGGGUUAUUCCUAGCACUCACCCAAGCAUCCCCCAUCGGAGAGCCAGCGGGUCACCUUUGGUAUGACUCAGAAAUCGCGGCUCCGAUCAGCGCCGCACUCCCAGGGCUACCACUCUGCCAGGGAGGUCAGGAAUUUUAACUCACCUGCCUUUGGUCUUACGCCAAUGGUCCCCCGCACACCGCACUUCCUCCGGUAGUGCGCACUUUAUACUUGCCGGUCUUCCGGCCUGAGUCAUACUACUAGGCUUCACGGUCGGAACGAGUUAUCCGGCCAACUAAGUGUUAGGCAUGCGUUCAACAUGACAAGAGGACGUACAACGGUCGGUCCUUAGCUGCCACAGAUGGAGUUACUACAACCUUGCAAAACUCCGCCCGGCUUAAAUCAAUUUAAUCAGGUUCCAUCCACGAUAGCACAUAUAGCCAACCGUGAUCCGACACAACCCUAUUUCGCGCAGGUGACAGGAUAUCACCCGACUUCUACCGAUUAAAGCAUGUCUGAGCCACUACUCGACCCUAACUCUAUAACCAGGUAAAGGUAAGAUAUCUGGACAAGGAUUGAGUAUAAUGCAGCAAGGGUUUCAUCACAACUCCUAUACGUAAUGCAUCAAUAAGUAUAACAUAGCCAAGUAAGCUUUCGAAAUUAAAGUGGGAGACUUAAGAUGCUCCGGGGCUUGCCUUUCACGAACGAUGCUGGCUCGUGGUUAGGGCACUCAACCUCUUCUUCGGGCUCCUCGGGUCCGGCUUGCUGGACCUCCACCUCCAGGUUGCCCUCCUGGCCUUCGGGGUUCGCUUGGAGCUCGAACGAAACUGUCGUGUCCAGUGCACCUAUUGCAUGUAUGAUUAAGAAUGGGUGUAUGCUGGAUGAGGAUGAAUGCUUGAUAACCUAGUUAGACUCACUGGACACUCAUUUACGGAGUAACAGUUAUAACAAGUUCACUCAAGAUAAUUAGUUAACUUAGCAAACCUACCAAGUCAACCUAAAACAGCAAGCAUUAAAAUAGAACAGCUCAGUAAACAAUUCAUAACUAUUGCUAUAAGAAUCCAACAAACAUAAAUGAGGACAUUCUGGAAAGCUUAAGAAAUUGUCUACAUUUCAUCUUUAAACAAUACAGCAAGAUUCAUAAGUUAAACAAGUCAUUUAAACAAAGUUCCAGGUUCUGUCCUAGAAAAACAGAGAGCACCUAUUUCUGGAACCCAACUUGGAAAAGCUAUAUCUUUCAAACUAUUGAACCAAAUGAUCCCAAAAUUAAACCACAGCUAGAUUAUACAAUUUACAAUAACUUUGAUUUAGACAAGGCUUCCAGCAAACCAAGUUAUCAACAUGUAAGGGUUAGAUUACCCCUUUGCUGUCCAGGGCAGCUCUCAACCCUCUAAUUAAUUAUUUGAUGACAUAACCAAAACAUAUCUAGUACCAGCCAAAUGGCUUACAAGCACAAGCAUAUCAUAAGACAACCAGAACAUCAUUUGUUAACCCCUAGAUAUUAAAUAACAAAGCAUUUAUCAAUUUAAUUCUAUAAAAGAGCAUUAUUACAAGAUACCAGCAAAGUUGCUCAGAAAAAUCUACAAACAUUACACAAGCAUAAGUAUAGCACCUGGACAUCACCAUAAAAUUUUCAGAGCAAUUGCACAUGCCAAAAUUAAGAUAAGCAUUUAACAUGUGACAAGGUGUUUAUUUCAUAAAUUCAGAAACAUGGCUUAGAUAGUGUCAAACAACAGAUUUCAGAUUAUUUACGUACUACUAUUAACAUAAAGAAGUGUGACACCAAAGUAGAGCACCAGCAUAAGCAUCAGUUAUUUACUAUGAUUUAAAUAAGAAAACAAGCCAUAUCUCAAUCAUAAAUUACAUAUCACAGAUGUAGUACUCCAAAAAUCAUGAAAUAUUUAUCAUAGCAUUCCCAUACCACUCAGAGACUACCAUAAAAAUUCCAUGGCCAGAUGAGCAGUAUAACAAGAUAUAUGAAUUUACUCAUAAAUAACGAGAUUAAAUCCUAAUAAAUAUUUUUCCCAGAAAACAUGGUUCUUUUUAUAUUUUUACAAAACAAUAGCCAUCUCAAAGAAUCUCACCAAAUUGGUUUCACAAUUUUUGGAUCAACAGAACCAGAGAUAUGAUUUUUGCAAAAAUAGCUCAAACCCUAAAUUAAACAAAGGAGAAAGAGAGACUGACAGGAGGGACCCGCGAGUCAACGGACCCCACACGUCAGAGACCCGAGAGCAGAGGCGCAACUUGACCGCCGGAGAUCUCGUCGACGGCGAGGUCUCGGCGAUGGCCAAGGGCACCAUCGUGCUCCCCACUCCAUUCCGCAUCGAAUGGUACUCGAAACCCUAACUCUACCGGACCAUAGGUACCUCGCCCUCGCGAAUGGCGGCACGGCGGUGGUGCGCGGCCGACCGCCGACGUCUCAGGCCGGAGACAGAGCGAAAGAGAACACGGAUGAGCAUCAGCACGACCUAGCGGAGCUUUUGGGACAAGAAUGAAGCGAAAUGGCGGACUACAGAGCCCUGGCCACGACGCCGGUGACCAUGGCGGAGCUCCGGCGAGGUAAGCUCGUGACGGAGGAGACAAUGCGGGCUUACCGAAGCUUGGCAGCCACAGCCAACUUGACGACGGUGAAGUGGAGAAGCUAGCGGAGCGCUGGGCGGAGUCGCUUGGCCGGAGGCGCGGAGAGGCGAGCGCGCAAGCUCGCCGAAGCAACAGCGGCGACGCGGAGAAGACGACGCACGCGAGAGAGAGCGAACCGGGAGGGGAAUGGCGUUGUCCACGUGACCGGGGGCGCCGUGGCGAGCUGUAGGACACGCUGAGGACUGACGAGCGGGACCAACAGCGACGUACGGACGCCACGGGACCAGACACGCGGCGUCACCGGCGAGCUCCCCUGAACUGACGGCGAUUCCAUUCAGCCGUUGAUCCCGACUGAAACCCGAUUUUGCACCGCGCUUAAUUCCUAAUCCACUCGAUGAUUUUGCUGGCUAAUUGCUCUAUGCUGAAGAGCUACAUGAGUACUCCAACAUUGCUUACAAGAUUAAUGUCUAAUUCGGUCUAGAAUUCAAACUGGAAGAUGAACAACAUACCCUCGAGCAAACUGUUGUGAUCCUGGACUUAGAAAAUUUUCUAAGUGUUGGAAACAGCCCCAAAUUUGCCUUGUGGGUCACUUUUGAGCUAGAUGUGGUCAUUUUCAUGAGAUGGCCAUAAAACAACUUUUGUUCCUUAUAAAAUUUUCUACAACUUUGCUGUAGAAAGUUUUGACAUGCAAACAUUUUAUGAAACACUUUUUAAAGGCCUAAGCAAAAGAGGUUUCUAGGGCAUAUACAUGUAAAUAUGACUUAAGCACUUAAUUUGGAGAAGUGAUCAACAUGAACAUUAUUCCUAAGGUUGAGUUAAGCAUAGAGAAACUAAUUACCAAGACAUAGCACAAACAUAUAAGCAUGGUACACACCAACACAAGCAUAGGAAGCAUGAUUAAACAAGUUAAAGCACACUCAGGCAUAAAAUGACAUGGCUCAAGGUAGAUGAUGAUUAUGAUAUGCUUGAGUAGAUGAUGAUGCUCAUGUUAUGCAUGUGAUUUAUGCAACCAUAACACUGGGGUGUUACAGCCCUCCCCCAUUACAAAAAUCUCGUCCCGAGAUUUGGAAGCUUACUGAUUUUCGAAGAAAGCUUUAUAAACUUCUUUUAAAUAAUCCUCCGUCUCCGAAGUGGCAUCUUCCUCCCCGUGGUUACUCCACAACACCUUGUAGAACUUAACCACACGAUUACGAGUCACCCGUUCCUUGCGGUCAAGAACAUAUGGUUCCACCAAUGAGGAGUUCUGGAGAACUGUGUAGUGUGCUUUAUUGAAGUAAUCGUCUCCCGUACCAAUAUAUGUUUUCUUCCCAAGUGUUCCCUUUCCGCUGAGUCUGCCCUCAUGUCUGUUGACGGUCCUUAAUGCUCACAAUUAACCAUCAACUAAUCAUAGAAAAGGAUCCAAAUGCAACCAACACCUAGACUUAGGGUUUUAUCUGACAGAAUUCCACAAGUUUUGGUGUUUGUCUAUUUCUGCAGGGGGUUAUCAGGAAAUACGGAAGAAAGGCCCACACGUCGGGUUUACAUAGAGAUAUUAACGUGCCGCACAAUUAUCUACCAUCUAGAAGAGUCCAGAAGCCACGGGAGCGAACGGGAGACGUAACGGAGCCGGGCACUGGGCGCCCGCCCUCCCUUACUGGGCGCCCGCCCUCCCCCCUGGACCAAACAGAGUCCAAUUCGGGGACAACACUCCACCGACCUAAUACUUGAAGGAAAACCACACGAUCAAUGUCGGUUUGAUCCGACGGCCCAGAUUCACUUGAAGGGACUAUAAAACCAGACCCCCCUGGCCCCUGGAGAUCAUACCUCUUCUACAGAAUCAAAGCUAGGGUUUCAAUUCUUCAUCCAAGUAGAGAGGAUCCCUCUAGUUCUUCUAGUUCUACCUCUAGUUCAUCUAGAUCUAGUUCUAGUUCAUCUAGUUCUAGUUCUAGUUCCUCUAGUUCUAGUUCUAGUUCUAGUUAGUUCUAGUUGUAAUCUAGAAAAUAGGGAGAGAGAAGAGGAGAGCGGAGGAGGAGCCGGAUCUGUCGGAUCUUCCUCAACAUUAUACUUUUGCAGCAUCUGGUUCAUUCUUCAUCGUUCUCCAGGUUCUUCAAUUCAUAAUUCCUGAGUUCUUUAAUUACUUUUAUUUACAUUCAAGUUAUUUAUUGGAUUCCCACUUGCAUCAAGUGCUCUAGUCUUUAUAACGCUAGAGUAGUAAUUAAUAGAUUAGACGUGGUGUUUAGUCUUGCGAUUACCUGGAAUUACACCCAAUCCUACGGAUUGUUGUGGUAGCCUUAGGGUAGUGACAGCCCUAAUGGUCGACGUAUUCCACCUCGUUCGGAUCGGUGUUUGUAGGACCGUAGUCGGAGCUUCCUAGCCCCCUUAUCAUCUCUUUCUGUGGUUAGUGUUCUGAUGUCCCGAUAUAGAUAAUCUUGAAGUAAUUCUUGAUUCUUAGAUCAACUAGAGAACUCUCAGGAAACUUCCUCUCUUCCCACCAAAAAUAUUCAUAUAGUUAUCCUUGGGCGAUCUUGGAUCUUAAUUAGUACACUCACGUUCCCUGUGGAAAAUCGAUACUCUGGAAUACUCCCGGGUGAAGGCUACAUCGGUAUCCGUGCGCUUGCGGAUUUUUCUGUUUGCGUUUAAAAUACCCAACAAUGUCGAGAUUCAGGAAUGCCAAUUGGGUCAAGGUCUGGAAUAAAGUCAACAGAGAACUCUAUGUCCUCCUCUGUUCCAUAGCCCUUGGCAAUGCUUCCUUCUGGCCGGGAACGACUGUGGACAUAUUUCUUUAGGACACCCAUGAAUCUCUCGAAGGGGAACACGUUGUGUAGGAACACAGGACCGAGAAUACGAAUCUCUUUUAUCAGAUGAACUAGGAGGUGUGUCAUGAUAUCGAAGAAGGAUGGAGGGAACACCAACUCAAAGCUGACGAGACAUUGAACGACAUCAUUCUGUAGAGUAGCCAGUUGCUCUGGAUUGAUCGCCUUCUGAGAAAUUGCAUUGAGGAAUGCACAUAGCUUUAUGGUGGCUAGACGUACGUGUGGAGGUAAAAUUCCUCUUAAAACCACCGGCAGCAAUUGCGUCACGUGACAGUCAUGGGACUUCAAGUUUAGGAAUUUCUUCUCUGGCACAUUAAUUAUUCCCUUCAUAUUGGAGGAGAAUCCAGAUGGGACCUUGAUGCUGCUAAGACAUUCAAACAUGCUUUCCUUCUCUUCUUUGCUCAGAGUGUAGCUAGCAGGGCUUAAGUAAUGACAUCCAUCAUCUAUCUUUUCUGGAUGCAGGUUGUCUCGUUCUUUCAUGCGCUGCAAGUCUUGUCGUGCUUCAAGUGAAUCCUUAGACUUCCCGUAGACAUCCAUGAAUCCGAGCAAGUUCACACAAAGAUUCUUUGUCAGAUGCAUCACGUCGAUCGCGUUGCGGACCUCUAGGACAGUCCAGUAAGGUAGCUCCAAAAAUAUGGAUUUCUUCUUCCACAUGGGUACGUGUCCCUUAGCAUCCUUAGGAAUAGGUUCGCUGCCUCGUCCCUUUCCAAAUACCACUUUUAUAUCCUUGACCAUUUCGAGCACAUCAUCCCCGGUUCGAUUGAGAGGUUUGGUCCGGUGGUCUGCCUUGCCUUUAAAAUGCUUGCCUUUCUUUCGUACUGGGUGGUUCACAGGAAGAAACCGACGGUGGCCAAGGUACACGACCUUUCGACAUUUUUUCAAAAAUACACAGUCAAGGUCUUCAUAACAAUGUGUGCAUGCAUUAUAUCCCUUAUUUGACUGGCCUGAAAGAUUACUCAGAGCUGGCCAAUCAUUGAUUGUUACAAACAGCAAUGCUCGCAGGUCAAAGUGCUCUUGUUUGUACUCAUCCCACACGCGAACUCCUGGUUUGCUCCAUAAAAGUUGAAGUUCCUCAACUAAUGGCCUUAGGUAGACAUCUAUGUCAUUGCCAGGUUGCUUCGGUCCUUGGAUAAGCACCGGCAUCAUAAUAAACUUCCGCUUCAUGCAUAGCCAUGGAGGAAGGUUGUAGAUACAUAGAGUAACUGGCCAAGUGCUGUGACUACCGCUAUGCUCACCGAAAGGAUUCAUACCAUCUGUACUUACAUCUAUGUCAUUGCCAGGUUGCUUCGGUCCUUGGAUAAGCACCGGCAUCAUAAUAAACUUCCGCUUCAUGCAUAGCCAUGGAGGAAGGUUGUAGAUACAUAGAGUAACUGGCCAAGUGCUGUGACUACCGCUCUGCUCACCGAAAGGAUUCAUACCAUCUGUACUUAAGGCGAACCGCAAGUUUCUAGCAUCAUCUGCAAAAUCUGGGAAUUCUCUGUCUAUCGCUCUCCACUGGGAUCCAUCGGCAGGGUGUCUCAGCAUAUUGUCUAUCUUACGGUCUUCUUUAUGCCACCGCAACAACUUUGCAUUGUCCUUAUUUCUGAACAGACGUUUUAAUCAUGGUAUUAUAGGAGCAUACCACAUAACCUUGGCAGGAAUUUUCUUCCUAUGACGUUCUUCACCCUCAACAUCGCUAGGAUCAUUUCGUCUAAUCUUAUACCGUGAUGCCUUACAUACUGGACAUGCAUCCAAAUUCUCGUAUUCCUCCCCACGGUAGAGGAUGCAGUCAUUAGGACAUGCGUGUAUCUUCUGGAUUUCUAAUCCCAAAGGGCAGACAACCCGUUUUGCUUCAUACGUAGUGGUGGGCAAUUCGUUGCCUUUCGGAAGCAUCUUUUUUAUGAUCUUCAAUAACUGCCCAAAUGCCUUGUCAGAUGUACCAUUCUUUGCCUUCCAUUGUAGCAACUCCAGUGUGACACCCAGCUUUUUUUGCCCCUCUUUAAUGGUGGGAUAUAGCGAUUUCCUGUGGUCCUCUAGCAUGCGCUCGAACUUGGCUUUCUCUUUAUCUCUUUCACAUUCUCUUUGUGCAUCACGGAUGGCAUCACCAAAAGCAUCAUCGCCCCGAUCAUCUUCUGCCGCUACCUCUUCUUCAUUAUCUCCCCCAUUGCAACAUCAUUGAAGCCACCGUACUGAGCAAUAAUAUUGGCAUGGUCUAAUUCUUCUUCUUCUUCACCUUCAUCCAUUAUAAUACCGCUUUCUCCAUGUUUGGUCCAACAAAUAUAGUUUGGUACGAAACCAGACUUUAAUAAGUACGAAUGAAGAGUUCUUGAGUUGGAAUAUUCCGUCAAAUUCUUGCACACGGCACAUGGACAGCACAUGAAACCGUCCCUCUUAUUUGUCUCUGCCACACUUAAGAAAUAGUGCAUGCCAUUAAUGAACUCUUUGGAGCGCCGAUCGGCAUUAUACAUCCAAUUACGUGUUACCAUCUGCAUUAAAUAUAACAUAUAUAUUAUGAAAACCAUGCACACAUAUAGUUUCUCAUCUUAUUGCACAACAUGUCUAAGAUACAUAGUUGAUUAAUUCAGGAAAGCUUAGCUACAACAAAUACAAUCGCAACUAGCACUAAAAAAACCAAAACUAAAAUGCACUUAAGCAACAUAAUUAGUUCACGUCCGAUCCCAACUAUAAUAGAUAGAUCAUUCGCUUGAUCAACAUCAUUAAACUCCUUUCGUCGGCUCACUGCCUCACCACCUUCAGCCUCAACCACCUGUGCAAAAGAUUUCUUAAUGUGUUCAACGUAUUCUUCCUCCCAGUACCAACCUAUACAUCCGCCGGUACCGUCCCACUGAAAUUAAAAGAGAGAAUCAAAAGUUUAAUUAAUAUCAUUUAAAAAAUAUGCACAUAUAUAAGCAAAUGUCUGGAAAUAACUCACAUUACGAGCUUGUAGAAUAUACGACCCUUGUUUACUCCCUCUUUCGACACUUUGUACUCCAUCACAAUCUUCUGCCCACACUUGCCAAAAGUAAUGAGAGGGAGUUCCGGCUGGUAUCGCUUUUGAACCCGUUGAGAGACCGAAGACCCGGUCACGGUUGCCAUCUACUAUCCAUACUUAAUUUUUAAACAAUUAUAAAUUCCACAUUUACUAGUAACCAUGUAUGAUUAAAGAAGAACCUAAUAAUAUCCUUUAUUUGUCUAGUUACUUCAACAAAUCUUCUAAAUUAUACAAUGGACAUUAUGUAGUAAUAAAAAUAAAUCAAGUGAUAUUAACAAACCAAUUAAUUUAAACUAUCCUACUUUCUAAGAUCAUAAAAAGAUACUAUAAUUCAUUCUUGCAAACUACAUUAAUACUAGGUCAACCAUGAAAUAUGAUAUAUAUAUAUAUAUAUGGAUACUAAUUCAUGUGAAUGAUUCAAAAUAACAAAGUGGAUUUGAGUUAAAAAUAAUGGAAACAUCACAAGCCAAAAACAACAUGAAAAAGACAAGAAAGACAAAAGUUAGUCACCUCCAAGCACAAAGAAACGAUGACGGAGUCGAAGAAGAUCAACAAUGGGCGUCGGAGAUGAAGAACAAAUGAAGAACAAGGAAGAAGAAGCUCCAAGAACAACAAUGGUGCUCUCGGUUUCAAAUGGGCAGAGGGGAGGACAAGGCGGGCCUAUAAACCAGAGCUUUAGAACCGGUUCAGGGAAAAAACCGGUGCUAAAGGGUCACCCUUUAGCACUGGUUUGUGUUACAAACCAGUGCUAAAGGCUUUGCCUCGGCCCAUGGCACUGGCCGGUGCUAAAGGGGUCCCUUUAGCACCGGUUGGUAACACGAACCGGUGCUAAAGGGUCCCUGCCCCGACGACACCUGUCAGUAGCCGUUGGACAGGACCCUUUAGCACCGGUUCGUGUUACGAACCGGUGUUAAAGGGGCCUUUAACUCCAGGCCACAAAAAGGCCGAGGUUUUUGGUCAUUUUUGGCAUCGACCAAUGCCUUAUUCUGUAGUAGUGAAAUAUUUACGUGCUAUUUGGGUGGAGUUGCAGAUAGAGCCAGUGCGUCAAAAUUUGGCAAAUGCUAUGUCAACAAGGGAAGUGAUAGAGUUGGUUUUGGACCUGAAUCCUGAGAUACAGAAGCAAGUCAUUACUCUACUCUACCUAUGGUGGUCUGAACGCUGUGGAGUAAGGGAAGGAAGCGGCGUGAUGGAGUCCGUCUAGCGCAACUGAUCCAUACAUAUGCAGCUGAAUGGUCAUCCCUUAAGCAAGUGAAAGCAUUGGAAGAUCGGUCUCAACCCAGGAGGUCUUGGAUGCCGCCGCCAGAAGACACUGUCAAAAUAAAUUAUGGGAAGAAGGUGUCAUCGCCUCGGGUUAUGGGAAGCUUGAUAACAUUGGAGAAGCUUUUCAUACAGACAUCAUUGCCUGCUUGCAAGCUUUGAAUCAGGCAGCUGAUUUGGGAAUCCAAAAGGUGAUUUUGGAAAUGGAUGCAGCCAUGGUUGUGCACGCAGUAAACUCCUCUGAUUUCGAUCUCUACUCUGCGGGAGGCCUCAUUUGGGAGUUAAAGGAUAUGCUAGCCAACAAUUUUACUUCAUAUGUAGUUGUUCAUAACCCUCGUUCUUGUAAUUUGGCUGCUCAUAGUCUAGCUGCCCAAGGGGCAUGUUUGAUUUCGGGUGCUACUCCGGUUCACGAUAGCAUUCAAAGUUGUACUUGUGUUGUGGUCGCCAAUGAUUUGGCGUCUGUCUAUAAGUAAUAGAGAGCUCUUCCAUGUCAAAAAAGAGGUGUCUCUAGCAACAUCUGUCUAAAAAAAUAGUUUUUGAGCGAAUCCAUGUCUAAAAAUUUUGAUUAUAUUUUUAGAGACAGCUGACCUUUCCAGCCACCUAAAUGUCUUUUUUAAGGCGGUUGCAAGCUGUAGCACAUCUAGAAAAUACCAUUUUUAGACUCAGCCUCAGCCACCUCUAGAAAUAGAGGUUAUGAAGAUAAAAUUUCAGUGAUCCUAGAAAUAGAUUUCUAGCGGCAAUUGAUGAUUUAGCUCGCCUCUAAAAAUAUGCAAUGUACAAUAAAAUUCAUAACUUUUUGAGAUCAAGUCAGAUAAGACAAACUUUAUAUUAAAGUUGUAAUACUAAAAAGAUAAGUUUAUAGUUGAUGCAUCUCCAUUUGAAGUCAUUUAAGGCCUGGAAGUUUGUUUGAAGUGUUCAUAUUUCAAAAUUUAAUAUUUUAAAAUUUUGUGUCACUAAAAAUAUGAGUGCUGAAGUCUAUGAAAAUGAGCAAGGCUCAUAACUUCGUGUCAUAAAAAUACAAGUACCUAAGUCUAUAAAAUAAGCUAAGACUCAUUUGAUUUGAGCUAAGGCUCAUGUUGGCAAAGAAUGAGCUGACACUCACAUAUAACUAUUGCAAACCAUCCCUCAAUUUCGCAUACUAACACUUAUGUGAAGGCAUUAUAAUCUCCACAAGAUAAAUAAAGCUUAAGCAUUCUUAUAACCUUAAAGAAAACACAUUGACUUAAACAAAAGGCAGCACAGAUUGCAUCAAGGAGAUCCAAUUUCUGUUCAGCUGAAUUGGCCAUUAUUCAAAUUCCAUCUCCACCAUGACUUAUUGGUGCUGAAAACAACAUGUAAAUAAGAAGAUAGUAUACCUUUUGUCAAAAACCAAAUAAUUUCGGCUAAACUAAUUUGAUUACCCUUGCUCCCAUACAAAGUUGAAAGUGCAAAUUGUCAUCUACAUGCUGAAGCCAAGGGCAAAAAUCAACAUGUUACUUUAAAUUUAUUUCUGGAUGCAUCUUGAUCGACAAAGGAAGAAAAGUAGUGUGAAUCGUCACUGGCCUUUUGCAGGUCCAUGAGGAUAUGAUGUGGAUCGGUUGACUCAACAGAAAGACAAAGCGGUACAGCCUCUCCUAUAGGGAAACGCAUGCAUUUCAGAUGUCGUGCUUCCCAAAGGAGCUAUGGCACGACAAGAUGUUUGUAAAGAGUAUAGAUCUCAUCUCAAUCGAUAGGUCAUGUAGUCACUUCCUGCUCGCAAAAGAGACAAUGAAGGUCAGAAAGAGCUGGUGAUUCCUGCAUACUGCACACUGGACUCAGUGACAAUGCAUAUUUUGGUUCCUAACUAUGGAUGGAGUUCCCCUAAUAAAUUGGUGAAUAAUGUUAAACAUUGUUAUGAAUAGGUGUCUGCUUCACUUGAUGUUCGUGGAUUUAAUUUGUACCAUUGGAUAUUAAGUAUUAACUAACAAAUAUGCCCAUACUUUGCAACAGAACUUGCUAGUAUCAUCACUAAACGUGAGUUCUUUUAGCUCUUAUGAGUACGAGUCAUGAGUCCAUGUUGCAUAGAAAGUAUGAAAGGCCUGUACCAAUACCUCUUGGAACAGAACUCUGCAUCGAUCAUUGUAAGACACGAGUUCUAUGACGGGUCAUGGGUCUAUGUCAUAUAUGAGACAAGGAGGAUACUAGUGUAGUUUGGGAAGUAAAAAACUAUAGUGGGAAGAAACUUUCCACUAUUAGGGCACUUUAGAGGGAGCCAAAAAAAUGAUGACAUUUUGGCUCUUUUAUAUUAGAUAUAUAUAUAUUUUGGCUCUUGUUAAGAGAUAGGCUCAACACAAGGAACACACUUAGAAGGAAAAACAAAUACUUGAAGACUAUAGCUAUGUGUUGCGUAACUCCAACCGUUUCCACUUAUUUUUUUAAUGUCCUGUCAGUCAAUCCUAUUGGGGUACCAUUCCAAUACUUGGAAUUUUAGCCUAGACAUGAUCAAAGAGGCUAGACAAAUCUUUGGUAGCUCAGUCUUCAGAAAAAAAUUAAUUAUUGUCUGCUGGAUCAUUUGGAACACUAGGAAUUCAGUUAUCUUUGAUAAUGGAUAGAUCAGUCUUGACACUUGGAAGCAUCAGUUCAAGGAAGGGGCUCCACUAGACCUGUGGCGAGUUACUCUUAACCAGUUUCCUUUUCUUGUUUUGGGCAUUAUUGCCUUGUAUUUCUUUGUUGUUCUUCCUUGUGAUGUGGGCUUCUCCUAGUGUUUUAGCAUUCAAAUUUUAGUAAAAACUUUCCCUAGUAAAUGUCUCCUAAUGAGAAUUCCAUAGUGCUAUAACUAGUGGUAGUGUUUUACUACUAAUUAAAAACACUAGGAGAACUCUACCAAAUUGGUAGUGUAGAGGCUCCCAUGCCGUUUUGGUUUUAAAAAAAAUUAAAUAUAGCUUCCACUGGAUUGAUACUACCACUACCACACUACAAGUUUCGAAAGCGACCAAAAGGGCUUUCCACCCUACCUCUGUACAAAUGUCUGUGUUAAUCAACAAGUAAAGAGAUGCACCUAUCUCUGUAAAUCAUGAAAUUAAAAAAAUCCCUGCCUCUAAGCCUGUCUCCAAGCCCAUAGCCCCUUUCGAGCCCAUCUGAGUCCACAACCACUGCUGCAGACCCCAUCAGGCCAGCCAUCACAAACCCCAUCUUGCCUCCUAAAAAAAGAUUUGUUUUGCACUGCCACUGCCACGUCCAAGUCUUUGCUUCAUGGAGGACGCCACAAAUAUGUGAAGGGAGAGGAUAAGGGAGAGCAAGUGAAUGGAAGGGACAGGAGAGGAAGAGGUGGAUACAAUAUGAGGGACUCAAAUUGGAGUGGUGUAUCCACCCUAAAUCUACUACUCGUGGCUACCAUGCAAGCGAGCAUGAGUAGGGUCCACAUCCUCCGUGUGUAAGCAUGAUCGAGCCAGAGAACCUCCACUCGUCGUGACCAAGAUCAUCUGUGUGCAAGCAACAAUGAAAUCGACAAAGCAACAGGAUGAUGAAUCUAUUGGAGUAGAUGGGGUAGAGUGUAACACCCUAAAAAUUUCCUUCUUUAAAAUAGUUGAAAUUCGAUUUAUUGAAUCAAUUUUGUGAGCAUCAAAAUAUAGGAAAAAUAAUAUUUCUGAGAAAUUAAAAUUCAAUAUAAGUUUAGAAAACUUUUUGAUGCAUUCAUGCUGCAGCACUUUUUUUUUUGUGAUGUGUGAAUUUAAGUAAAAAUAAAUUUGUUCAAAAUUCAAUUUAUAAAAGCAUUUAAAAAUUGGUUAAAAAAAAGAAAAGAAAUCCUGUUCCCCUCCUUCUCGGCCUGCUGGCCCAGCCCACCCCGCAUCUCCCCCUUUCUCCUCUUGGGCCGUGGCCCAUCAGGCUGCCCCCUCCUUUCCACCCUUCUCUCUCUCUGACGCGUGGGGCCUACGCGUCAGCUUCAUCCCCCAUCUCUCCAACCGCCCGCCCCUGCUCCCUCCCUCUCUCCCUGCUGGAACCGCAAGCCGAGCCGGCCCCCGCUCCCCCACGACCCUCCUCUCUCCCCCGUGCCUCGGGUUGAAGUGGGCAGAGCCGCGCCGAACCGUCCUCCCCCUCCCAUUCCUUCCCCCUCGCUCCUUCUCCACUCGCGCGGGCUCUGGGAAGCAUAGCAAAAGCGCCGCCGGCGACCUCCGCGCGAAUUCCGCCGAAUCGAGCCUUUCUCGCCCGCUUCUUCGCGCUGGUGAGCUCCCCUCUUCCUCCGCUUCGUCAUCGUCUAAUUUCCUCGCGAAACGAAGCGCUCAUCCGUGCUAGCCGCGUGCUCCGGCGAGCUCCAUGGCCGCCGGCCAUGGAGCGUGCCGCUCGGGCGUCCCCCGGCCGUGCUAGGGCCUUAGUUGGACUCGCCUUUGCUUCCUCUUUCGCCUGGUGCAAUCGGAAUUGGAAACAGAGCCCUGUAGCGCUCGGGAGACCUACUCCGGAGAGCUCCUCGCCGCCGGCAAUGGAGCUCCGCCGUGUCCUGUCCCUGUUCCGGCAUGGACUCUCUCCCUCCCCCUAAAUCGAUCCUCGGCCUUUAGAUCUAGAAUCAACGGCCACGAUUAGAACUUACCCCUUCGCGGGGAUUUUUAUUAAAGAAUCCCUCGACUUCACAGAUAUAGAACCCGCAGUCCAUGACGGUUUCUAAGAAUACGCUUUGUUCUUUUGAAAACGUAAAAGCCUCGGUUUGAAAUGAAAAUAUGUUUUUAGUAAUUACAGUUUUGCCACUGAGUUUGUUUAGCUCAAAAAAUAUUCAUUUUAAUUCCGAUUUGACCCGUUUAAAUUGCGUUAGAUUCAUUUUCGCGAGAUCUACAUGUUAGUAAUCUUGGUUCAUCAGUUUGAAACAUUUUAAUUUUGUGACCCUAUUUAAUUAAUUACUUUUCUAUAGGAAAAUCUUAGAAAAUUCAUAACUUCUCCGUUUUAGCUCCGUUUCGAUCCGUUCAAGUUGCGUUAGUUUCAUAAUUUCAUAAGCUUCGCGUUGGUACCAUUGUUGUCUAGGUUCACCACUGUUAUAUUCCCUAGUUAAUUACAAGUCCGUAACUGUUGUUGAAAUCCCGUUAAAAGCGUAACUUUCGCGUCGUAACUCCGUUUUCCGUGAAUUUCCCGUUGACGUGAUCGUAGCAACGUGUAGAUGAUUUUGGAAAACUUUUAUUUAAAUUUAUUUAUUGCUGGUGUACUGUUCUAAUUAUAAUCUUGUUUGCUUCGUGUAUGUCUGUCUCCGAUUGUUUGUGUGUUGAUAAUCGAUGAUCGAGAUUAGACAGUGGGCAUUACUUCGGGCAUCAAGAUCAGAGUCUUGGAAGCAAGUAAGAUCAGCAGGACCAGCAGGAGCAAUUGGAUUAGGGCAAGUAUAGCAUUUGGGUUUUAAUUCUAUGACCAUGAUCUUGUGACUAGAUUGAUAUAAAGCAACAAAUGAUAAUAAUGACUUGUUAACAACUUGAGGAUUUAUUCGUAAGUGAUAACCGGGAUGAAAGUGCAACCAUGAGGGAUAUAAUGGCUCUGGCUUUAGUCAUGUAUGAGUAAUUUUUCUAGCUUGUUAGAGGUUACCCGUGUGGCGCAAAUGAGGGAUAGCAGACCGUGGAUUCCCUGCGAGUGGUAGAAUCACACGGACUGACUAACGAAACCAAGCGGCCCUAACUUGUUAGACGAACCUUUGAAAGACUUCAUAGUGAUCCCUGCCGACCUACCUUGGUAGUGGGUUACGAGGCUGAUCACCUCAGAUGAAAGGGUAAAUCAUGACUCAUGGGUAAAGAUGUACAACCUCUGCAGAGUGUUAAAAACUGGUAUACUAGCCGUGCUCACGGUCACGAGCGGCCUUGGGAACUCUUACAUUAAGGGUGAUGAAUCUUGUGUUAAGAAACUCAUUGAUUAUUGUUUAAUGCUCUAUAUUAUUUAUGUCACAAUGAUCAUGAGAUUGUGGGAUCUAUACAAUCUAGUUGUUAUACUUGCGGAGUUCGUCUUGAACUCACUCUUGCUAUCUCCCCCACACCUCAGGAGAAGUUUUGGGCUUGUGAUCAACCAGUCAGUUGGAUCCUGUAGAGUGAGGUUAACACCCGAAGUUUGGAGUUCUCUUCCGUGUUUGCUGCCCAAGGUUGUUUCUAAUUUAUUAUCUACGCUAUAUAACUUAUGCAUUGUCCUUUGAUAUUACCCCUUAUUUGUAGCUAUAUGUGAGGCUUGUCUUCUAAAACUCACAUAUGGUGCAUAUCUGAUUUUGUUCUUAAAAUCGGGUGUUACAAAGUGGUAUCAAAGCAAUGUUGACUGUAGGACGCAAGCCUAGUUAGAACCGGACGUUUUAGGAUGCUUCUAUCUCUGCUUACUUCUUGCUUCCAUCUUAACCUUGAUAAUUGCUAAAAUUUAUGCUUACCUCUGCCCUAUUCUAUUAUAAAAUCUUGUCUCUAUUCUAAAUCCUCCCACUUUGUCUAUUUAGAUGGCUCAUAACGAGGAGACCAUUGACAUGAAGGAACAAAAGGACUCAGAGAUGCCACUCGUAAAAGCAUUCGACAAGGAGAAGCUUCUAGCCAUGCAAAAGCAAGUAGUGGAUGGAAUGACUCAGAAUGGGAACUCUCAGCAGUGCAUCUCAGGACCAGUGAAGAGACAAGUAGCAGAAGCUUGGAAAAAUAUGAGAACCCAUGGAGGUGUUGAUAGUAAUACAUCGGGAAAUUAGGAUCAAUGCCAUUGCUGUAGGCAUUAUGGUCUUCCUUGUCUUCGGAGUAGGUCAUCUAAAAAGGAAGUUAAGGUAAAAACAAAUUGUGUGACUAAUGAGGAUAAUAAGAGGAAGGCAAAAUCACUAGAGCCAGCAUUGGAAAGUGAACAACAUUCAAAUCCUAAGUUGUCACAUUUAGCUUUGAACUCUGGCCAUGAAAAUCCAAACCUUGGAGAUGAAGAAAUUUCUCAAGCUAACCCCACUGCUCAUGAGGUAUACAUAGAUGGAUGGACCAUCACUUAUAAAGAGUAUCAACCUCGAAGGAUCAACCAAGUUAGGAAGAAAGCUAGCCAGCCAGAGACAAACCUUCAGAGUCAGCGAACUGAUAACACACCGAGCAACACCUCAGUGGAAAAUGAUAUCACGAAGGAUCCAGCUAAGAAAGAGUGUUAUCACUGCCAACAGGAAGGACACUAUGUAAAGUCUUGUCCACAGAACAACCAAUAGUAGUAUCAUGAAAGAAGCCACACUGAGUUUAAGAUAUAGGAGUUUGUGCCCUUGUGUAAUAAAAACGCUAGUAGCGAAAGUCGAGUUUGUGUGCCUUGUGAACCUUUACUGCUUGGUUGAAUUGUCUUUAUGAUUAUGUUUGAUUUGGAUCUUUGUAAUGAGUGUAAUGAUCUUGUGAGUUUCUUCACAAUUUCAUUUAGUUUAUAUGUCUAAGGCAUAAGGAUUAAUGACAUAAAUAGUUGGGUUUUGGUUUUUCUCUUGUUAUCUUAUCCUGCCUUUCCAGAGUAUCACUUCUUUAUCAGUUCAUAUAUUUGGCCUUGGAUGAAAAAAAAAAUCAUAAUAAAAUUUUGGAUGAAAUUGGACUUCAAGACCUUUCUCUGACCUCAAGAAUCUCCCUCAUAGCUAUUAUGGUUUGGAAGUUACAAAAAUCACAAGAUGAUACAGAUGUGCUGUCAAGAAUCUCGACCAGUUUUGGUUGCCUGCUGUUUUGGACAAAUAUAACUAUAGAAUUUGGAAAAAUGUUCUAUAGAAAAGUUUUAGAUAAGUUUCUAAGCUUUCUAACGGUAUAAUCUAUGACCCUAUUGGAUUAACAGAACAAGAGUUAUGUCCAUUUUACCGCGCUGGUGAUUUUCUUAUCACGAGGAAAUUUCAGAAUAUUUGUUUCUUCCUUGCACAUAAGUUCCUUGGGAUGUCAAAAGGGUCUCAAUGCAAUAUAACUUGUCAAGAAAAAGUACAAGCUACCUUUCUUGUGCCUCCUAGCCGACCUUUCUUAAGGGGGGUAGUACCUUGAUAUCACGGGUUGAUGCAUUUUUUUUCAACUUAUCUUGAAGAGAGAGUUCUUUUGAGAUAUUUUAUGAUUAUGAUCAUCUCUCCUUCUCAUGUCAUUGACGUUGGUCACUUGAUGAUAGGGAGUGUAUCCCAUGGAUCAGGAGCCCUAUAUGAUGCCUCUUACUGAUACGUGGGAAGAGAAUGAUGAUCCUACCCUUGAAGGAUGUUAUGAGUAUGAUGAAACUGAGUACUAUCAAAAUAAUGAUACUGAAGAGCAAGUUGGAAGUGAAUCAAAUCAAAAUCCACAACGGCGAAAGAGAAAAAGGAAAAGUCGUAAGAAGUCAGCUCAUGGAAGUAAGGUGCAACGAGACUAUAUCAAUGGAAGACUGAGCAACGUGGAUAGGCAUAACAUUCAUGGAGCUACCAAUGUGGUUGGUGGCUAUAUUCAAGUAGACUCAGUGCAAGCUUUUGCUCUCUUUGACCCGAGUGCUUCGCAUUCUUUCAUUUCCGCUGACUUGGUAAAGACGAUCGAGCGGGUGAAGUGUCCAACGAGGAAGCCUUUGUUAGUUCGAACCCGAGUGGGAGAAAUACAAGCAGAUCAGGUGUGCUCAAAUAUCAAUCUGGUCAUAAACAAGGAAAACUUCAUUGCAAACCUCAUUGUGCUAGAGUCACUUAGUAUUCCCUUGGUCCUUGGUAAUGGAUGGUUGUGUGCACACAAAGGAGUAAUCUAUGGUACCCACUACAAAAUGCUCUUAACAGCACCGUCAGGAAAAAGAAUUGAGUAUCAUGGUGGUCCACUGCUACCUGAGGAGGCAAAUGCAUAUUAAGUUUCCAUGUCUCUUGAAGUCAUAAGUUAAAAGAAAUUAGUAGUCAAGAUGGACUUUGGUCAAUUAUGAAUGAUAGUUAUUCAAUGGAAAUGUUGUUCACGAGGUGUGACCUUGAGACAAGUGUUUAAGUUUGGUAUGCAAGUUGUGAAGUUGAAAGGAUUAUCAAGAUAUUUUCCUGUUUCUCUCAAAGGAUCUGAGCCUCUUCCGAAUCUCGAGGACGAGAUUCACUUUAAGGGGGGUAGAAUUGUAACACCCUAAAAAUUCCCUUCUUUAAAAUAGUUGAAAUUCGAUUUAUUGAAUCAAUUUUGUGAGCAUCAAAAUAUAGGAAAAAUAAUAUUUCUGAGAAAUUAAAAUUCAAUAUAAGUUUAGAAAACUUUUUGAUGCAUUCAUGCUGCAGCACUUUUUUUUUGUGAUGUGUGAAUUUAAGUAAAAAUAAAUUUGUUCAAAAUUCAAUUUAUAAAAGCAUUUGAAAAUUGGUUAAAAAAGAAAAGAAAUCCUGUUGCUCCUUCUCGGCCUGCUGGCCCAGCCCACCCCGCACCUCCCCCUUUCUCCUCUUGGGUCGUGGCCCAUCAGGCUGCCCCCUCCUUUCCACCCUUCUCUCUCUGACGCGUGGGGCCUACGCGUUAGCUUCAUCCCCCAUCUCUCCAACCGCCCGCCCCUGCUCCCUCCCUCUCUCCCUGCUGGUACCGCAAGCCGAGCCGGCCCCCGCUCCCCCACGACCCUCCUCUCUCCCCCGCGCCUCGGGUUGAAGUGGGCAGAGCCGCGCCGAACCGUCCUCCCCCUCCCAUUCCUUUCCCCUCGCUCCUUCUCCACUCGCGCGGGCUCUGGGAAGCAUAGCAAAAGCGCCGCCGGCGACCUCCGCGCGAAUUCCGCCGAAUCGAGCCUUUCUCGCCCGCUUCUUCGCGCUGGUGAGCUCCCCUCUUCCUCCGCUUCGUCAUCGUCUAAUUUCCUCACGAAACGAAGCGCUAAUCCGUGCUAGCCGCGUGCUCCGGCGAGCUCCAUGGCCGCCGGCCAUGGAGCGUGCCGCUCGGGCGCCCCCCGGCCGUGCUAGGGCCUUAGUUGGACUCGCCUUUGCUUCCUCUUUCGCGCGGUGCAAUCGGAAUUGGAAACCGAGCCCUGUAGCGCUCGGGAGACCUACUCUGGCGAGCUCCUCGCCGCCGGCAAUGGAGCUCCGCCGCGUCCUGUCCCUGUUCCGGCAUGGACUCUCUCCCUCCCCCUAAAUCGAUCCUCGGCCUUUAGAUCUAGAAUCAACGGCCACGAUUAGAACUUACCCCUUCGCGGGGAUUUUUAUUAAAGAACCCCUCGACUUCACAGAUAUAGAACCCGUAGUCCAUGACGGUUUCUAAGAAUACGCUUUGUUCUUUUGAAAACGUAAAAGCCUCGGUUUGAAAUGAAAAUACGUUUUUAGUAAUUACAGUUUUGCCACUGAGUUUGUUUAGCUCAUAAAAUAUUCAUUUUAAUUCCGAUUUGACCCGUUUAAAUUGCGUUAGAUUCAUUUUCGCGAGAUCUACAUGUUAGUAAUCUUGGUUCAUCAGUUUGAAACAUUUUAAUUUUGUGACCCUAUUUAAUUAAUUAAUUUUCUAUAGGAAAAUCUUAGAAAAUUCAUAACUUCUCCGUUUUAGCUCCGUUUCGAUCCGUUCAAGUUGCGUUAGUUUCAUAAUUUCAUAAGCUUCGCGUUGGUACCAUUGUUGUCUAGGUUCACCACUGUUAUAUUCCCUAGUUAAUUACAAGUCCGUAACUGUUGUUGAAAUCCCGUUAAAAGCGUAACUUUCGCGUCGUAACUCCGUUUUCCAUGAAUUUCCCGUUGACGUGAUCGUAGCAACGUGUAGAUGAUUUUGGAAAACUUUUAUUUAAAUUUAUUUAUUGCUGGUGUACUGUUCUAAUUAUAAUCUUGUUUGCUUCGUGUAUGUCGGUCUCCGAUUGUUUGUGUGUUGAUAAUUGAUGGUCGAGAUUAGACAGUGGGCAUUACUUCGGGCAUCAAGAUCAGAGUCUUGGAAGCAAGUAAGAUCAGCAGGACCAGCAGGAGCAAUUGGAUUAAGGCAAGUAUAGCAUUUGGGUUUUAAUUCUAUGACCAUGAUCUUGUGACUAGAUUGAUAUAAAGCAACAAAUGAUAAUAAUGACUUGUUAACAACUUGAGGAUUUAUUCGUAAGUGAUAACCGGGAUGAAAGUGCAACCAUGAGGGCUAUAAUGGCUCUGGCUUUAGUCAAGUAUGAGUAAUUUUUCUAGCUUGUUAGAGGUUACCCGUGUGGCGCAAAUGGGGGAUAGCAGACCGUGAAUUCCCUGCGAGUGGUAGAAUCACACGGACUGACUAACGAAACCAAGCGGCCCUAACUUGUUAGACGAACCUUUGAAAGACUUCAUAGUGAUCCCUGCUGACCUACCUUGGUAGUGGGUUACGAGGCUGAUCACCUCAGGCGAAAGGGUAAAUCAUGACUCAUGGGUAAAGAUGUACAACCUCUGCAGAGUGUUAAAAACUGGUAUACUAGCCGUGCUCACGGUCACGAGCGGCCUUGGGAACUCUUACAUUAAGGGUGAUGAAUCUUGUGUUAAGAAACUCAUUGAUUAUUGUUUAAUGCUCUAUAUUAUUUAUGUCACAUUGAUCAUGAGAUUGUGGGAUCUAUACAAUCUAGUUGUUAUACUUGCGGAGUUCGUCUUGAACUCACUCUUGCUAUCUCCCCCACACCUCAGGAGAAGUUUUGGGCUUGUGAUCAACCAGUCAGUUGGAUCCUGUAGAGUGAGGUUAACACCCGAAGUUUGGAGUUCUCUUCCGUGUUUGCUGCUCAAGGUUGUUUCUAAUUUAUUAUCUACGCUAUAUAACUUAUGCAUUGUCCUUUGAUAUUACCCCUUAUUUGUAGCUAUAUGUGAGGCUUGUCUUCUAAAACUCACAUAUGGUGCAUAUCUGAUUUUGUUCUUAAAAUCGGGUGUUACAUAGAGGAUGGUGCCUUGAUCUAGGAGCUUAAGGUCAUCGACCGCAUUUGCACCACCCUUAGCUAGGGAAGCCACUGGGGCAACUUAUGCUUAUCCCCACCACCGCAUUCAGUCAUCCUCGAACAAGGCUGCCACUUCAUCCGCACCUCCAUAAGUCAAGGUCUCUGUUGCACCUCCACCGCUAGGAUCUUCUCCAACCUCAUAAAAUCUAUAAACUGGUGUGGGAAUGGAGAGAUGGCUUUGGUGUAGACAAUGGCAGCGAGGAAGAGAUAGGGGUGUCAUCUGCUGGGUGGAGAGAGAGAGGUCAAGCGGCUAUUAGAUGGGGAGACAGAUAAGGAGUAGGGAGAGGGGCAAUGUGGAGACACUACUACAUAUAUGUCAUCACCACCAGCUCUAAAGUUCUCAUCACUAUCGAUUUUCACCCUUGGGGAUGAAAGUAGCAGUGUUAAUCUCAAUUAUUCUGUGGGUUCGAAUGCAAUGGCAAUUAUUAUCACCCCCGGCUAGUUAUACAAACAUGCAGUAAUAAUAAGAAACAAACAAAAUAACAACAACCAAGCCCGUGUAGCCUGUCAAACAGUAGUCAUUGUCCUAAGUUACCGUUGCCACCACCCUCAUCAAAUCCAUUGGUGGGAACACAUGCCAUUGCUUGGAGCUCGUCCAUCGUCCAUUGAGCCCACCCAAAACCGAUCCAGCUGCAAUGGAGUGCUUCCAAAGUAGAUCGAGGAGAGGAGAGAUCAAGAGCACCUCACCCUUAGUUCCUCCAUCCCCAUCACUGUCACCAUCCCCAUGCCCGCGCCACAUGUGGUAGGGGCAAUUGUAAGGUCCAAAUGGCUGGCCUAUUUUAAAUUCUACAAGUUUAACUAAACAAAUAUGUUAGUAAAAUAAAUGGCAUAGCAAUUCUAGCACUAGCACAACUAAGCUAAACAUGCCACCUAUAAAAGUCUAGUAUAAGGCAAAACACUAAACCACAACAAGGCAAGACAACACCUAGAUCUACUCCUUAACCUAGAGAGACUAAGCUACACAAGCUACACAACUAAGCAAGGUAAGCAAGUAAGUAAAGGAGUAGGCGAUGAUUCUUAUACUGACAUUGAAGAGUAGAGAUAUAACCAAGAAUCAAUCACUAUUGCAACCACAAGAAGAAAUCCUCGACAAGAGAUGACACAUGAUUUUUUACUGAGGUUCAAUUGCUUCCCAGCAAUCUAGUCCCUAUUGUGGCAAUACACCCACUUGAUGGAUCAUAAGCUAAUUGACAAUCCAAAGCUAAACCCUCAGCGGGUGCCACACAUCCACUCACAAGAUGGGGAUCCUCCAAGCCAUGAGCAAUCCACUAGAGUAGUCAAUUGUGAUCUCGCGUGGGAAAGGCUCAAGAACCCCUCACAAAUCACUUGGUGUGGCUCGAAACAAUCUUCAAUCAUGAGCUCAAUAACUCCGCUGCUCCAAGGCGUCUAGGGUGUUAGGAAACACCCAAGAGUAACAAGAAAUCUGCAAUAAACUCAAGGAUCAAGUGCUACUAGUUGCAACUCUCAAUGCAAUGCACUUGAAUCUCACUCAAUCUCACUAGGAUGAGCAAUCAAGCAAGGAGAUGAGUAAAGGAAGUGUUCUCUAGCUCAAAAUAUAUCUCAAGUAUUCAGAAAAACAAGAGAGAAGCCCCCAAGCAUAGGCACCUUCUAUUUAUGCCGUUAGAGCUAAACUUGGGGGCAUCAGAUGCUCCGACGCUUGACCGUCGGACCCGGUCCAGCGUCAGACGCUCACCUGCCACGUGUGUUAUGUCACUGCCAAGUGUCCCUCUUUGAAUGUGACCUGUUGAUUGCCAAUGAUUACUUAAAUGUUAGCAAACUUUUGAAGCACGCGUCGGACGCGCAGACGCUCUGCAUUGGAUGCGGCCUGCUCACAUCGGACACGUCCGAUGGUGACGCAUGCCAGUGUCUGACGUACACAACGUCGAAACCCCAUCUGGCAGCACUGCUAUAGUGCAAGGCGUCGGACACUCCGACGCACACUCCUGUUUGCACCUUAUUGCGCUGAACGCAUCGAACGCGGGCUCCGCGUCCAACGCUGCCUGACCAAGCGUCCGACGAGUGAGAAACACUCGCACGAAUUUGCCAAAACUUUUCUACGGUGCAUUGAAAAAUAUGCAUUUCAUUUUUCCGAAAGCACCAAAUCUCGCCUCACAAGCUUGGUAGGAGAGAGAGAGGAAUCCAAACCCCUCUCUACCCCUCAAUCUCCACCUCCUUUUCAAAUGUGCCAACACUAACAAGUGUCCACCACCAUUGUGCAUGUGUGUUAUUAUUUAAUUUCACAAAUAUUUUCUUCAAAGAAGUUAGGUUAGCACUUUACUAGAUCUUAAUGCAUAUGCUCAAGAUGUAGACCUAGUAGCCCUAGAUUCAGGAGAUGGCUGUGAUUUCCCCUCUUGAUAGUCGGCUAUCCUAAAUCUAGUUAGUCACUUCUCUACUCAACUUAGACCGGCAAAAGCAAAAUCCUAUGGUUAUAACUUUGCCUUGAUCACUUUACUCCUUGUCUAUCACCAUGAUCACCACUUCAUGCUUCAUCUCUUUGUGAUCAUGUGUCCACCACUCUAUAUGACAUUGCUCCUUCAUCAUAUGUGUUGCUAUGCCUAACUUAAACCACUUAAACACAGAGAUAUUAGCAACUUAAUGUCAUUAAUUACCAAAACUAAACUUGGGCUUUCAACAAUGAAUGCACUGCUGGGAGCACGCACCCGCUCAGUCAUGGAUUGGGUGGUCGUGCCCUUGUUGUUGGGUGCCCGGGGGCCACGCCCACACUAUCGGGGUCACUGACGGCAGGGGAUGGGGGUGCGCACACCGACGAGAGCCUGCGCCGCAUGGAGAGGGUGAGGGAGAAGAAAGACGAGUGCUGAGGCUAUUAUGAUUUUAUAAGGACCAUGGUUCUCUCUCGUUUUAAGGUUCCUUGGGUCGCACUAUAUUUGUAAGUGGGCCAAAUCUAGUGGCCAUGCAAUCACGUCAAGCCUUUUCAUUUUUUUCAGAAUUAAGUUGUAUUUUGGCACAUAUUUUUGUUUUUUUAAACCGUUGGUGAUGAUUUCACCGGCAGAUUGUGUUCCAAAAAAAAUCCCUCAUUUGAAAAUAGUCUUUUUUUUGAAAGAUAGGUCACUUAGAAGGUUCACCUCUAUUAAUCAAUAUCAAUUUACUAAGAUGGAGAUUCUCGGACCGCUUGUGACAAUGAACUCUUUCUCAUCUUUCAAAAUCAGUUAUUUUGGGAGAAAAAUACACAGUUUUACCCUCUGAGCGUCUUCUAAGUUCUUUUGUGUAGCAGCGUAUUUAGAAAGAACAUACAAAUAGAGCCAAACUUCUUUUCUUUUAUAUUAUGUACUAAAGAAAGCACCCAAAGGAGAUGGAGAAAUUUGGAAAUACACCAUACUAAGUCUUCUCUCAUGUCGUGUGCAGCAUGAUCUCUCAUCGACGGCCUCGUUAUUAUGCCUACCAUGCGCGACCACGUGCGGCCCGCCAAGAACAUGCAGCGAUCACUCUUGAAGAUGUCACUGGCUCAUCUCCACGCAAAAAGGGAAUAACCGCCACCACCACCUGCCGGCUGCCGUCACUGUUCAACCUCGGCGGCUGUCCUGUCCGUCGUUGCCAAACCUAGUAAAGAACACGCACGUCUCCCAUGCAUAUAUGUUCAGUUACUAGGUGUCCUUAUUAGCUUUUCUUUCAUCAUAGGAUUAAUUAGCCAACCUAGGUAGAUAGGCACACCAGCUUUAGUUACUCAUUAGACUACAGAAGUGAUGGUGACCAAGAAAGAGAAAAAAUGUAACGAGCAUGAGAUGCUGUAAAUCUACAUACCUAAUAAUAACAUUAAAUAGUAAAAAAUUCUUGCUCUAAAAUUUGGUCCAUCUGUGUCCUUUCACUCUUCAAAUAUAAGAGUCCUAGCUAUUUUACUAAGAGUAACAGUAUCUAGUAAAUUAGAUAAAAUCUAACUCUAUUUUGCAGGUCAUUUUCAGGGGAGCGUACUGGAUACGCUUCUGGGUCCAAGUGCAGCUUGAAGAGCAAGCCAAGGACGCGCUGUCGGUGAUGAGCAAGAAAUUAGAAGUCAUUGCUUUUGAGAUAUCCAAUAAAGGAUGGAAACAUUUUUAUUAUUUGAACUAGCGUCCUGGUCAUAUUAAGACUGUGGCUUUCUCUUUUUUCAUUUGAUCCUAGUUUUGUAAUUUUAGACUGUGUAUAUCCUCGGAUGUAGAGGCCGGAUUGUUAUCCAUUAUCUAAAAAAAGAUAUUAGAGUCCUAAUUGAUUUAUUGUCUCUCGUCCAUGAUGCGAACUUAUGACCCAUACCCAUAUGAGUUAGAUAAGUCUAACUAUGAUACAAAGUUAGAUUCUAAAAUGUAUUAGAACAAAUGACACAAGAUGUAGAUUUCAUCACAACGCAUGAAUAUAUUUACAAGUAUCCAAAAAGCAACAAUAAUCUGUUAACCAUCUAUUAUUUGAAUGUGUGGUAGUUCAACAAAUGUGGUAUCUUUUGCCUAGGAUGUUUGACGUACAACUCGAGGGCUCUUUAGAAUCUAUAUAUAUAUAGGGAGGUUUUGGCUUAGUAAUAAGCGUAAUGGAGUCUUAAAUAUUUGCACCUCUGCUGUUGUUUGGGUGUUUGGAAACUCAGAAAUGACAUCUGUUUUGAGAGAACACAAUGCAGGAAUAUGGCUAUACUUCUCUACAGAACGCGGCGGUGUUGAUGCAAAACUGGGUAAUUCUUUGCCCAGAGGAGGAGGAGGAGGAGGAUUUGCGACACAAGGCAAUGCUAAUCAAGAAGGAGGCCUCCCAGGUGCUUUGGCUGCGCUGGAAGUAGUAGACGCUGCUAUCUGGCGAUGGUGGGGAGGGGCAAUGAACUCGGGCUUGACAGAAGGUGUGCCCAGCUGAAGAUCUUAUCAAAGACGAUGAGAUGUCAAAGACAAAUGUUCGGGUGUCAGUUUUGCUCUGCGAACGUAGUUUCAUAGUUUCUGGUUUAGUUUCUGUCUGUUGGUUGCGUUCUUUUGCUCAAUAUAUAAUAGGGUAGCUAUCAGGUUUAAAUCUGGAAAGGUGAACACUGGAAUGGUUUUUAAGUGGCAUUACCACCUUCUGGGCUAUGAUAAGGAACAUUGUCUACUGACUCAUGGUUAAUAGAUGGGGGCUCAGUCCUAAAAUUCUAAAAAAAACAAAAAGCAACAAGACAGGCCGAUAAAAAACAUUGUUUCCAUGAUAUGAAACUGUUGAACUCCUCUUUUUAAUUGCGACUACGUAAAUAUUACUUGAAAAGUUACUUAUAUAACUCCUGAGUUAACCCUUCCAAGAUCAUAACUCAUACGAGACCUUUUACAAUGGUUGGAAUUGCUUCCGAUCGCUUUCCAUCGCCUCCGCUAAAUAUUAUUUUCUCUUGAUUUAAUUCGUCCGAGGGCAAUUUAGUCAUUGCGCAAAGGCCUCUCACCCCAUCACCCACAUGCCCGAACUCCCUGGUCUCUCCCAAAUUGGACGCAUGUUGCGUUUCUGCUCCCUCGACCUCGCCCUCGCACAGCGCCUGCACCCACAUGCCCGAACUCCCUGGUCUCUCCCAAAUCGGACACAUAUGAGGGCACUCCAAAGUUUUCACAAAAAAUUAUCCAAGUACUGAGAUGGAAUUGCUCACAUGAGUAUAUCAUGCACAUUGUCAAAAUCAUCCCCACAACCUUAUUAGAAACGUAGCCUUUGCCAAUGAGCAGUGUCGAAUCCACCUGUAUUAGCCAGAGCCAGAUCACUGAAUCGGUUAGACCAUUCGAGAUCGAUCAGGAAAUAAUUUACAGAAAAUUAAUACAAGGAUCGAACUCUGAAAAAAUUAAUACAACGAUUACUACAAAUUAGAGUUCAAAUCUGCUUGCUCACCUAAUACACUUGCUUUCCACAAUCCCUGCAUUUUUAGAGGAAUAGGAAGAGGAGAGCAUCCUGAUGUCCGGCUGCUGCUGAUGCGGGCGCGGUGGGUCGGCACGGAAGAAGCCAAGCUCGGCCCAAUGCUGCGGCGCCAGUGCUGGCUGGGAAGAGCUCCCGGGUGACGAACUAAUGCUGCUGCUUGUGGUGAUGAUGGUGAUGGAGAGGAGGCGACGGCGUGGCGUCAUUGUUGUCGUCCGAGCCGGCCGCGUCGCUGUCGUUCCUGAGGAUGCUGAACUCGAGCACGGCCUACGUCGAGUUGGAACCUUCCUCUGCCGGCGCAGCAGCCCCAGCGCCCGCGGAUGCGGCCUCCGUGUUCAGCCCCGGCGCCCGCAUACAUCUGCGAGGAAGGAGCCAGUCCAGCCGUCGAGGUGGAUGACCCGCUCAGUGGAGCCCUGCCGCGGCUGCAUCGCCGCCGGAUCUACGUGCUCCCUCGACUCGCGCUCGCACGCCGCCGCAGCUGCCCUCGCCCUUGCCCUCCCUCUCUCACGCCGCCGCAGCCGUGCGUGGAUGGCCGCGCACAAGUCAGGCGAUUGGCAGUUUGGAACCCUACGACGAGUUCUCUCUUCUUUAAUUAAGAAAAUAAGAUUUUCAUCUAGUACUUCAAUUAUUACUCAAUUUUUUGUAAUUAUACAUUUACCCUUUUACCCUUCACAAAAAAAAAUACGAAAAAGGAAUUACCAUUCCUUUAUUUGGGGUCCUAAUCCCCCUCAAUUUCGAAGGCGAUGGAAGGCGACGUGACGCAUAUGGCCUACCGACCAUAGACACACCUAUCGCCUCCCAUCGCCUUACUGUCAUCGCCUUUCAUCGCUUCCCAUGUUCUAAGCCCACCGAUCAUAGACACAUAAAUCGCUUCUCAUCGUCUCUCCAACAAUUGUAAAAAUAUUUAACUCACUAUUUAACGGAUAUAGAGAAAGCUAUAGGGACCUAAUAAACUCUCGAUGUUUGUGGGUUGUAGCUCUUAUUCGGGUAAUGAUUAUGUUUUUUUAGCAAAAAAAUUUUUAUGCAGCCUAUCUUCAUGGAUAUUUUGGUUGUGGUUUUAGGGAUUGCUACAACACGAGGAAAAUGCAAGAAAGACUGUCUGCUUGAUCUCGAUGACUAUGAAGAUCGUCUCUCUAGACAUUUUCAUCAAGAAUGGCUAAGAGUGACGGGAGAACCAAUAAUGAUCACUUUGUUUAUGAUUAUUUUUUUUCGUUUGUGUGCUCUCUUCUUUUAUUUUGUGAUACUGUUAAGCUUAAAAUGUUGGAAUAUAAGUGAAUUGUCCACCUCUCCCCAUCAGCUUAAGCUUUUGGGUUUAACUGGUCGGUGCAUGCAACUCAAUAUGGUAUCAAAGCCAGAGGUCUCGAGUUCGAAUCCUGGUUAGCGCAAUUAAAUAAAAUAAUUGCUGCUCGCUCCUAUUCCAUGUCUGAGGCCUGAGGAAGCCUCCACGUGAGGGGGAGUGUUGGAAUAUAAGUGAAUUGUCCACCUCUCCCCAUCAGCUUAAGCUUUUGGGUUGAACUGGUCGGUGCAUGCAACUCAAUAUAAAACAUUAUAAAUGAUGUUGUAUGUGGUCACAAAGGCCAGAACAUUUUAUUUUUCAAAAAAAAAUAGCGAGACCAUGGAUCUUAGCUACGCGGAACAUGGAAACAAAUCCAGUACACUAUGUUCACGGAGACAGAGAGGGGUAGAAUUUAUUAUUGUUUCAACCAAAUAAUUUAUAACUUUUUCAUAGUACAUAGCUAGCUCACAGGAGUUUUUUCAGUCACAACAAUUUUAUACAGCUCAUAGCUGAAUCAAAUAGACCCUAUUAUUAGUUCAUGCACAUACUCCGUUUUGCGUAAAUAGUCUGGUGUCACUAGUAAAACAAAACAACGUUCUUGCAUGUCUAGGAAUUGGAAGCCGCAAGUAGUAUUUCCCAGUUGAAGACCAUAUCCUGCGUAUAUCUUUAGGACAGUUUGAUGCACAGCAACACAGAUCUCGGAAGCCAUGGACCACGCACGCAUGUUACUGCCGCGCGCACUCGACCAAAACCAAAGUGCGGCAAGGACAACGGACAGGGGCCAACCAUUGCCAAAUAUGUGACAUGGACCAGACGUGGAGCGAUACCCUUCGAUAGAUGGCGACGGUGUAGCCGAAAGAUUUGGCCAAAUCUUUGCCAUCGGCACGAGGGAUGGCGUGUAAACAGUGACAUGUCGACGGGUAUGACACAUGUCUCUAAAAGAUAGUAGUGUUGUGAAAGGGCUUGUAAUCCAAUGGUAGGGCAAUCCAAUCCGACAUUAUCUACCAGGCUAUGAAUUUCUUUUUUCAGAAAAUAGGAUACACGUGCAUGUGGUGGUGCUGCGCGUUUCUCGUGCACUAGACUAGAGGGUCUCCUAAUCUCUUCUUUGUACGUGUACGGGUGCAUGCGUGUGUGCGCGUGUAGUGUUGAGUGUGGAAUGUUUGCAUCAAGUUGUACCCGAUCAAAAAAUAAUAAUAAUAGUGUUAUUAAAUUUUGAAAUGAUUUUUAAAAACCUAAGUCAGAUAAAAUCUUAACUCUUACUGUAACCUAAGACAUGUGCCUAUUCUGGAAUCAUUUACAUGUUUCUAGGAACAUUUAAAUGGAACCUAUAUAAAUGUUUAAAAGACAUAUGUGACCACUAAUAACAAACCAUAUAACUCUACCAUAGAAGAUAUAUAGUGUUAAUAGAGUCUUGUCUCAUGGCCGUUUGUUUGACUAGUAGAUGCCAUCUUCCUCUCGAUCUCAGUCGUGUGAGGUAAACUGCUAUAUAUACUAACACUGUACCAUAACUCUCCUAGACAGCUGACUUCACCCCCACAGGCGAUGCAUGCAUGCAGAGGAUCCGAUCGAAAAAGGGCCGGGAAAAGCAAAAGGCUUUGAGAGGAAGGACCGGGCCGACGAACAUAGGAGAGGAAACAGAGAAGUUGACGUUCAUAUGCGUUGGCAGCUGCCUUUGGAGUGGUCUAGUGGACGACUUGACGUGGUGACGCAGCCCGUUUUAUCCGUUGCAUGUACCGACCGGCGAGCCGCCAGCUUUUUCGUGGAUGGGGUCGUCAUCGUUUGCGCGUGCACAUGUCGGGAGAGCUCGUGUUCCUUGGGGCUUUCUUUCGAUCGAUCUCCGGUCCUGCAAAUCUCGCAGUAGGGCACAUUGAAAACGAAAUUUUAACCAAUUGGCCGGUUCAAAAGUCUCACAUAGUUUACUGGUUGAGAAUCUAAAACCUUUUUUUUUCUUUUCUAGAGUAUAAAUUAACAAGGUGAGCACUUGGUGAUCACAUUUUAUCAAGAAGUGUUGACAAUAAAAAUUAACAACGACUAGGAGAUCUAAGAGAAUGGCCGCGCCGGUUUAGCAUUGUUAACAUGUAGAAUAGAAUUCACCAUUGUGUAGAUUUCAAUCAGACGAUCCAAAUGCAUAUGCAGAACGUUCAGUUUGAAGUCUAGAUGAGAGAGUUAUGGCUAUUUGAAGAUCCAUUCACAUGAGAAAACUCUAUUUAUGACGAUUUCUAAAACCAUCCAGAGAUCGAUUUUCGUCAACCUUAUUGGAGUUGUAAAAAUAUAUUUUAACAUGGAAUUUGUAAGACUUUAGACUCCUAUAAAGGUGAGACCUCUCCACUCUAUGUAAAUAUAAAGGACCAUAGCCAAUUAAGGAUAAUUAUUUGUUCACACAUUUUCCCCUAAUCUCUAUUCUACCCAGCGGAUGUUCAUCUUUCAAUCCGAUAAUUAUAGGUGGCAGGGUUUGUUGUGCGACCAAAGGCAACCCAACGAUGAGGUGCACACCUCGAUAGGUUUCCCCUGGGUGAGAGCAACGAUGGUUCUUUGCUAGUUUGCUUAUCAUUGUUAGAAAUUUAGGUAAUUUUAGUAUUAAUUUAAUGUAGAAAAUGAUAAACAAUAUGUUUGUGACAUGAUAUAAGUGCAUGUGUGCUCUAAGCAUGAAUAGCAUGUAGAUGAUACUAGGUAGCAAGAUAUUGAUCGAAAACCUUACUAGAUAGAGAACAACGAAAACAUACACAGUGGCAGAGCCAGACCCACUAGUCGACAUAGUGCCUAUCGGUAUAGUGGUCCCGCUUGAUGCAAUGUACAAGGGAAGUAGUGUUGAUCACCAGAGAACCUUCGCCGUGCACCAGUAAGAAGACCAAGAAGACACAUAAGAAGAAGAAGACAUAACGAGUAGUCGUGCCAUCAGCAACACUCCCUAAAAACAUGAUUGUCGUCCUUCACCUAAGUAGGAGAGAAUCCAAGGACAGUAGCGUUUUAGAGGCCUACUCUCCCAGAACCCGUGUGCGCAAGCAGGGACGAAGCUAGGAAAAAAUUUAGGUGGGACUGAACAGAAGUGCUAUAUCGACUUAGCUUUACUAUAUAACCCUCGUAAUAGAAAAAAUAUAUUAGCUUGAAAUAGUCUUAUAAUAAAAACAUCGAUCAAUGGUAAAAUUCACAAAAUAUAUCUAAAAAAUAAAGGUCUCAGUCCACCCUACAUUAUAAAUUUGUGUCUAAAAUUAGAAGGAGAGUACUAGAGGCUCCACUGGCCCAGCAGCGGUAGGAGGGGCUGGAGCCCCCGUAGCCCCACCGCUAGCUUUGUCCCUGCACGCAAGGUCCAGGAUAGAGAUAGUAAAGAGCAACUCAACAGUGAAUUGAUGGGAUGUGACGUGGACAAGAGGAGCGAGCCACCUUAUAUAGCCUUCCAAGAACAUGAAGAGACAGACAUAGUGGUUGAUAAUGCUUAUGAACACCAUAUAUGUUACCAGUAAUUGACAAAUAAAUUGUCUGUUACUAGUAACCCUCUGAUUAACCUAGUUAAUAUGGCAUAAAACCACAUUUGUUACUAGUAAUUGACAUAUCAAUUGUCUAUUACUAGUAACUCACUAAUCAACCACUAGGUCACCCAGAACAUCCCACUAAUGGCUAUAACACAUCAUGAAUUUCACCCCGCAUUAGUUCUAGCCUCGAAAUUUUCUUUGAUUUAAUUGCUAACUGUAAUUAUUUAAUUCUAAUUAAAUCCAACAAUCCCCACCAAAUUUCAAAGCAUAGAAGAAAUGCUCUCGGACUCGCUAUUGUUUAAUAUACCAGUGUUUCGGCGGAGAUUGUUAAGUUGAAUAUGAACCUAGAGCAGAGGUUAUAUUUCUUCACAACCGAACAAUGGACUAUGCCUUGAAUUGACAGUUUUGUGCUAAAUAAGUUUGCCCUAAGUCCAUUACUCAUACAAGGUUCCUAAAGCAUCUACUCUAAUUGGAGCAUAUAAGUCAAACACCUAAGCCUUUUAUGAGUAUCUAUAGAUUAUCUACAUCUCUCAGACUAUGACUAGUAGUUGAACUUAUAUAGGUUUGCUCCUUAUAAGAUAUUAUGUAGGCUAACAUCUCUCCUUAAAUAAGCCACUCGGAUCACAUUAAAGAUUAAACCAUCCUGCCAUACAACAUCGGAUAAAUGUGCAUCUCAAAUGAUAUGGACCUUAUUUCAAAGGAUCUCUCCAUCGGUCAACCAAGCUUGUUUAACUAUCAUACUUCACGGGAUCUCUAAUCACAUAGGACAAGUUACCACUAUAGAGUGACUUCACAUGGGACUCAAGCCCACCUCCCUCGAUGCACCAUCUAUCACAUUACAUGACAGACCCUUUUUUGAUCUGAUCUGUCAGGUUCUUAGAUGUAUGGACAUAGUCCAAUACUAUUACUCGUGAGAUUCUAACCAUCUCUUCACAUGCCUUGUAGACUUCAUGUUAUCCCUAGAACUAUUCACUUUGAUUCUCAUAGUUUGAUUAUCAUAGUUCAUGAAAAUAGCCGGUAUUGGUUUUUCAACCACCAGUACAUCCAUAAGGAGUUCAUGAAGCCACUCGGUCUCAACAAUGGCGGUAUCUAAUGUUGUGACUUCUACUUUGAUUGUUGAUGUUGUUAAGACAACCUUGCUUGCAAGACUUCUAUGAAACAUCACCACCUUCAAGUGAGAACACAUAUCUACUUUUGGUAUAAAUCUCAUCAACAUCAGAUAUCCAAUUUGCAUCAUAAUAACCCUCUAGUACCCUUGAAUACUCGGUAUAGUGAUUGCUAUAGCUCACAGUCCUUUUCGAUAGCACAAUAUCCUCUCUAGAGCAUGCUAAUGAUUAUUUCCCAGAUUUGAAACAAACUGCCUAAUUUUGCUCAUAGCAACUAAGAUGUAAGGCCUUGUUGCACUAGCUAAAUACAUAAGUGAACUAAUAACUUGAGAGUAUCUCAAUUGAUCAUGUGCUAUUUUGUGAUUUUUCCUUAAUAGCACACUUGGAUCAUAAGAAGUUGAAAUAGGUGUGCAGUCAUUAUACCCAAAGCAACUCAGCACCUUUUCAACACAGUAGUAUUACACAAGUGUUACCACACUAUUUCCUUCUCUCAUUAGCUUUAUGUUAAGAAUAACAUCAGUCUCACCUAAGUAUUUCAUUUCAAAGUUACUAGACAAAAUGUCUUUCACUUCCUUGACCACAUUCAUAUUAUUUUCAAAGAUUAGUAUAUCAUCCACAUAUAAGCACAAGAUCACACCUUCUCCUCCAUCGUACCAUACUGAUAAUAAAUAUAUUUAUUAGCUCAUCACAACAAAGUUGGCUAAUGUCAAAGCUCUGUGAAACUUUUCAUACCACUGCUUAGGUGCUUGUUUUAUACCGUAUAAAGAUUUCGAUGACUUACACACCUUUCUCUCUUGACCAUUUGCUACAAAUCCAUCUGGUUGAUCCAUAUAUAUCUCUUUCUCAAGCUCUUCAUUUAAGAAAGUUGUCUUAACGUCCAUUUGCUGAACAUGAAGACCAUGUGAGGCAACCAAGGAAAGUAACACUCGUAUAAUCGUAAGAUGGGUAACUGGUGAAUAAGUAUCGAAACAAUCUUCACCUUCCUUUUGUGUAUAGCCAUUUGCUAUGAGCCUUGCCUUAUACAUCUCAAUAGUACCAUCAGACCUAAGCUUUUCUUGGAUACCCAUUUACAUCUCACAGGUUUGUACCCCAUAGGUUUGUACCCUUAAGGAUGAUCAACAACUUCCCAAGUUCCAUUUUAUAUAAUAGAGCCCAUCAUAAUCUGAAUAGCUUCCUUCCAUAAGUCAGCGUCAAAAGAUGAAUAUGCCUUAAUAGUGUCAUCCAUGAGGUAUAUAAUAUAGUAUUCACCAAAGACUUUAUAGUCCUCUCUCUCUUACUCUUUCAAGUGACUACAUUAUUAUCCACCUCGUGAUUCUCCAUGUGGGUUUUAACAUCAGUGUGUGUUACCAGUUCAUGCGUCUUAGGUAAUAAUAUAGAUUCAUGACUAGUGUAUUUUAGAGUAAAUUCAUUCUCAAAACAUGUAGAUGCUCUAGAUUCAUGACUGGUACCAACAUUCACAUUAGGUUCUCCAAAAUUUAUUAUUAAAAAACUAUAACCCACACUAUGAAUAGCAUAACUAAGAAAGAUACAAUCAACUAUUUUGGUCUAAGCUUUCGCUUCAUGUUAAUUGGCAUAUUCACCUUUACCAAACAAGCCCUCGUAGGUAAAAAAAGAUUUAAUCUCUUCUUCUCUCAUUUCUCAAAUGGUGUAAUUUCAUUGUUCUUUGUCGGUAUCCUAUUCAAGACAUGAUAUGUUGUCACAAUUGCCUCACGCCACUAUUGCUUAGAUAGUCCUGCUAUCUCUAGCAUGGUGUUAACCAACUCAGUUAGAGUGUGGUUCUUUCUUUCGGUAAUCCCAUCGAAUUGUGGUGAGUAUGGCGAUAUCCUCUCAUGAAUAAUACCAUACUCUUCACAGAACUAAGAAAGUUCAUUUGAAAAAUAUUCUCCCCCAUAAUCAAACUACAACCAUUUAAAUUUUGCUCAAGUUAAUUUUCUACCUUAACUUUAUAGAUCUUAAAAUAAAUUGUCUGUUAGUAGUAACCCUCUAAUCAACCAUUGAUAAUGGCAUAAAACCACAUGUGUAACUAGUAACUGACAUAUCAAUUUUUCGCUACUAGUAACUCACUAAUCAACCACUAGCCCACCCAGAAGAUCCCACUAAUGGCUAUAACACAUCAUGAGUUUCACCUAGCAUUAAUCCUAGCCUUGAAAUUUCCUUUGAUUUCAUUCCUAAAUAUAAUUGGUCAAUUUCAAUUAAAUUCAAUAAUCAUCAUGUAAGCGCAUUAUGUAUCCUUUAUUGGUUUACUCAUAAACCUAGCCAUCUACACCAUGAAAGAAUGAUAUUUUCCUUUCUAGGACAAAAUCUGGGAAAAACAUCUAGGUUGGAUACUACAAAUUGGCUAGGUCAAUUUCUAUAGAUUCAUGACAUACUAUUCCUUUACAAUCCACAAGAACUAGUGUCUUAGUGUUUGACCAAUCUUUUCCUCAGUACACUUUGUAGUGACUCUUCUAGGGAAUCAUUUUUUUUUCAAACCACACAAAUGCUCAUCUACAUGAGCACACACUCACCCUAUAAAUGCACACACCCCCUAUCCCUAUGAGCACCUCCAAAAGAAUUGAGUUGGACUAGCAAAUCUCGAGAUGAAUGAUGUUACCACAUGUGUGUUCCUAUCGACUAACAUGUCACCUACCACUGAAAGAAUAGCAUCAAUAAAUCCAAGAAUAAAUCUAGAAAAAUAUAAGCACUCGUGUCAUGUCGAGGACUUGAACACAGAUCAAAGAACCCAACCAGCUAAGCUACGCUGCUUCAGAUACAUCUAGCUUUUAGCCAAAUUUGUUUGUUGUAGCCAAUUGCUUAAUUGAUAAAUUGCCUUGUGUUUCCCUAAACUUGUUUGCUGUAGCCAGUUGCUUAAUUGAUACAUUAAUUUCUAUAAAGCUGGAACAACAUUGAUCCAUGUCAUUAGAAUUAGCAGCCGUUGGAUUCUCCAUGCUACUGAAAUAUAGAACACACAAUGUAGGAAGCUGGGGAGUCCAAUACCAACUGUUUCUUCCUCUCAAGUAAAAUUGAGCAUGCAACCCACAGGCUAGAGGCAUGACCCGCAUGGUGAUUUGGCCUAGCCUGAGCACAACAUGGCCUAGACCCCAAACAUCCUCGUACCAACCCAAAGCACAUAGCAGGUCAUGUUUGGGCCAACUCCUUGGCCCACCAGGCAGCACGACCUGGCCUACUUUUUAACGGCAAGCAUGGUGCGUAUCAAGGGGGCUAUAAAAGCCCCCGGCACGGUGACCCCAAACAUUAAUCCCCAUUCCCUUCCCCACCACCCCUACCUGCCUAUAACCAUUCGCGAUGCUCUUGACCCCCCAAACACUAAUCCCCACCCAUCCCUCACCUCUCUCUUCAUCUUCCCUAUCUAUGACAAUGAUGGUGACCAUCGAAUCUUGAGAUCCCUAGUUGUCUCCCCCCUCUCAUACUCUCUUCUUCCUCUCGCCCUCUCUCUGGCUGCUCAUUCUUCACCACUAGUCAAUGUUGAUUAUCAUCAUCUAUUAGGGAGGUGUUGUUGCCCCUGUUCUUCUUCUUUAUCUCUCUAGCACCGAGCUCCAACUCCGUGUAGGUAAGUCACCCUAACCCUAGAUCUUCUAGCCAUCCAUAUGAACCCUAACCCUAACCCUAAACCUUUGUGUAAUUGUGCCUCCAUGCAGGUUGUCAGCAUCUAGCUAGUGCCAUAGGAGCCAUUGAGGAACGAUGCCGAGAGGUGAAGAAGAGGCGGGGUGGCCUUGGCCGGCGCUGAUGGUGAUGGCCACAAUGGGCUGACCAUCAAUGACGAGCUCAGGGCCUUAGGCUAGAUCCCUGACAACAAAGAUAACAUGGGAAAUGUUGCUGCACUCUUGUUCGGUAGGACUUGUGUUGCUCCGAUCAACCAAGAUGGGGCAGCAGCUAGUGGAGUUGUUGCUCCGGCCGCUAGCAAUGCAGCACCUGUGGCAUCAUCCAACACUAGUAAGUGUCAAUCUUCUAUCUGGGCUAACUUUGAUGAAGUAAAAGAGAUAAUUGAUGGUGAAGAGCAUUCUAUUGCUAUUUGCAAGCCGUGUCAUUCUAGAUUGUCUACUAAGUUUGCUCAUGGCACUAGACAUUUGCUUAGACAUCAAAAAUGAUGAGGACAUGACACCUUCGGAUAUGACCAUUGAUUACAAGUAUAAGCCUAUUCAUAUAUUUUCAUAGUGAUUUUUGGUACAGUUCACUUGGUUCCACAUGUACAUGUCAUUAUUUGCAUGUAGGUACAAAUGUGCCUCAAAAUGUAAGGUCAUCAAAGCUGAAUUUUCAGUUUGCUAGUGGUCUGAUAGCAUUUCAUUAGGAAGGCCAUAACUCCUUUGUCUGGAGUGAGUUUGAGGUGCAUGCACACUUGAUGGACUUUCAAAUGGAUCUAGUUUAAGCUCAAUAUCUUGUCGACAAGGCCUCCAAAUCAUUGAUACAUGUUGUCGCUAUUUCUAUCGAGAGCUACUCAUUACCAUGGGAUUAUUAUUUACCCUUGGGAACCUGGUCCAAGUUGAAGCACGCCCCAAGGAGAUGGAGAACACCCAAAGGAAGCUUUUGGACUUCCUCCCCCUUGGCCACCACCUUAGAUGGUCAUCAAGGUCAUCCAAGCUAAGUCAGAGGCCCAAUCCAUGUCAAGUUUGAGUCUAUCUCGGGCUCUAGGAGUAGUUUGUAGUAAAACAGACACCUAGUGUUUUCAAUGAUCCACAUAUAGUUGGAAAGAUAAUUUGAUAAUCUAACCAAUGGCUUUGGUUUGGGGCCCAAAUUCUAUCAAAGUCAAUACAAAUCGUCAAAACAAGUUGACGUCCAGAAUUUGUCCUGGUGCUACGUCGUCAUCUUUUAGGCCGUUGGGCCUUGUAACAUGUAGGGGCACCUUAUGGAUGUGAAGAUGAGUCCUUGGACCUCCCUUCGGCUAUAUAAUCAGUACCCACUGCCUAUGUUAGGGUUUCGGUUUUGCUUUAGCUCAAUCUGUCAUCGAACAGUCACCAUUAUCAAUUUGCGAGACCCCAACUUUGAGUGCUUAAUCAUAUAUCUACAAUUAUCACUUCAAUUGAGUUGCAUUUACAACAGGGAUUAGCCUUUGAGGCAAGGUCAAUCAGAUUGUGACACGGUUGAUAACCAGAGGAGACAUGGUGCUAAGGUUGCAUGGUUUGGGUCUUUGUGAUCUAAAGCCACAUUCGGUGUGUCGCUCUUCGACCAAAUUGUUGUUUAUCUUAAACCUGACGUAAGAUCGGGUGUUUGUUUGACAUUUGAUAUUUGGUCUAGUAGUGCUAAGGAAGAUUAUAUAACUGAUGUUGCCCACUAUAUUAUAGCUGAUUGGGAACUUAAAAAAUCUAUUGUUGGUUCUAAACUGUGUGAAGUGAGUCAUAAUGGUAUUAACAUGAUGAAUGUAUUUCUGGUGUGCUUAGAGAUUUGGCCUAUUUAUCGAAGUUUUCUUUGUUAGCCAUGAUAAUGCAUCUACGAAUACAAUUGCUAUGCUAGGUUUGACUCCUAUGCUUGAUGGUUACUUGGGUUAUAAUGUUGAUCCAUAGAUCAUAUUAAAAAGUCAUAUCAUAUUAUGCAUUAGCACUGUACUUGCCAUAUAAUUAAUUUGAUUGUUGGAUCUGGUUUGAAAAGGCUUAAACCUUGCAUAGAGGUUUUUAGAACUGUAGUUAACUUUCUAAAUUCAACUAAUCAUUGCAUUGCUACUCCCUUGCUAAGGGUAUAUGGCCUCAUAAAUUUGCUUUGGAUAUGGAUCAUAGAUGGAACUCCACUUAUUUUAUGCUGAAAUGUCUGAUGCCAUAUAGAUAUGCCUUUUAUGUAUUCAUCAAUACUCAAUCUGGCUAUCCAUUAUUGAAUGAACAAUAUUGGUGCAUUGUUGAAAAGGUAUUGGAGUUUCUUCAAUUAUUCUAUGAUUCAACUGUUGUACUUUCUGGUGUUCAUUACCCACAUAGUCAUUUGAUACUGCAUCACAUGCUUGAGAAUGCUGGCCAUCUGCAUGACUAUGAACAUGAUAACAAUCUUGAUGUUGUUGUUGUGCCAAUGAAGACUAAAUUUCUUUAAGUACUAGAAGACUAUACCAAUGUUAUAUUCUUUUGCAUUUGUUCUAGACCCAAGGGCUAAGAUGAGAGGUCUACAAAGUGUGCUUGACUUGCUUGCUCAGUGCAACAAUAUCACUUACAUUGAUUAUCUUGCUGAGGUUAAAUUUGAGUUACAUAAACUAUACAACAAGUAUAUAUGAAUCUAAGUUUAGCGCAGCUAGGCUAGCUAGGACCACCCAUCCAUUUGGACUGAUAGGUAAGAGGAAGCAGGCAUGGGGCAAAAUUUAGGAGGACCAAUUUCUUUUGGUCCUUCAAGUGUUGGAUCAUCUAUAGUGUGUCCUGGUCUUUCAGAGCUCAUUGUUUACCUUGAUAGUGACAAUGUUGUCACAUAUAUGAUGUUGAAUUUGAUGUCCUCAAUUGGUGGCAUGAGCAUAAACUAACCUAUCCAAUUCUCUCUACCUUGGCUACAGAUAGUAUGUUUGUUUCUGUCUCAAAUACUUCUUUGGAGUCUUGCUUUAGUCUUAUUGGUAGGAUCAUUAAGGAGUAACAACGGUGAUUGGAUGCAGAUACUAUGGAGAUACUGAUCUACAACAAGGACUCGGAGCAAGGUAAAGAGAAGGGACAACAUACUAUGGAGGAAAAUGAGUUACAAGACUACUCCAAGAACCAAUUUCUUGCUGAUGAAGCUAGUGGUUCUACUACUACUUGAGUAUUAUGCUGAGAGUGACGAUCAGUUAUUGUUGGGUACCAUAAACCAGGACACCCAAAUCAAGAGGACAAAAAGGAGCAAAAAAGAGUAAAAGCGACGCCCGACCCCUUGGCCUCGGGUGCAAUCUCCGUCUCGCCCGACCCCUUUGCCUCGGGCGCAAUCUCCGUCACGCCCGACCCCUUGGCCUCGGGCGCGAUCUCCGCCUCGCCCGACCCCUUGGCCUCGGGCGCAAUCUCCGCCGCGACCGAGCCCUGGCCUCGAGCGCAAUGAACGCUCCGCCCAAGCCUCGGCCUCGGUACCAGGCUUCCAACACGGUUGCCGUACCCCUGACGCGACGUGCGCCAUGCCUCCCACACUACAGCAGGGCAUGCCGACCACUAUUCUUACAACACCCAUCACUAUGGCGCCUUACCUCUAUCACUGUGAGGCAUUGCCCGACAAUAAAAGAGGAAUGGGAGGAGAUUAACCCCUGCCACUGUGACCAUACUUUGGCAGUCACUGUUUCACUAUUGCAAGACAAGCUGCAGCGCCCUAGACCAUGAUCCAAAAAGGACUCGGUGAUGCUCCACAAGGACGACCACACCGUCAGCCAUGCCCGAAGGAUGAGGUGGCCGAUCUCCAUAGGGUCGGCACUGCCACUCCACUGCAUACUAGAGAUAAUUUACAGGUUCACACAUGUAAAAGCCCUAUCACGCCUUGUGCCUAUAAAAGGGGAGGCAGGGCACCCUUUAGAGAUCGUCGAACACAAGGCACAAGUGGAUCACACAAGCAACACACCUUCCACACACAUAGAGAAAGGGACUCAGGACACUGAGCCUCCCUCCACUCACUUCUCAAAGCCGAGACCUGGGACUUAGCCCUCUCUCACAAUCAGCUUGUAUACCCCUACUACAAGCACUUCUCGCGUGCAAGGAAAUACAGACCACGACUCUUUCACUGGACGUAGGGCAUUCAAGGCCCGAACUAGUAUAAAUCCUUUGUAUUCCCUUGCAUCACCAUUCGGGUUAAGGGGGCAUGUAGACUCAUCACUCAUUAGUGUCUGGACCUCGAGUCCAAACACCAACAGUUGGCGCGCCAGGUAGGGGCCUUCUGCAUGUUACUCUCCUUUUCCUUGCCAGGGAAAAGCCCACAUGGUGGAUAGAUUUUGCCCACUUCGCCUCGGCACCAUCAUGAUGUUCGGGAGUUUGGAGUUCAUGUCUCUUGGCUCUGGCUAUGACAUGGUCCUCCUCCCACCUCGUGACAAUGCUGAGCAUUGUCCGGAGCUAAUCCCGCCACAGCCAGCACAUGGGAGGCGCUCGGGACAUCAUGCAGGGGGAGCACGGCGCGGGCGUCAGAGGUCUAGGAUUUCUGACCCCGCCGCUAAAGCCAGGACUCGUCCGGCACUCCCCAGGCACAUUCCUCAUUAGAUCGCCCAUUCCUCUGGCCCACGCAUGCUAGAGGUAGAGCUCAUGGAGGUUCAAGCUCUGCUCCACGGGCUAACAGGGGGACAACAUGACCCCCUGUUCCGCCUCAUUCAAAUGGCAAAUGCAGCCUCCACUCCCAAAUGGGGACCGGGGGGCUUCGACUUCACAGCUCCCUCCCGCAUCAUCUGGGACGACAGUGGGAGUACCUAUGGCUAUGCCUCUUGUGCACCAUUAUGGGCUCAGGAACGCCGCCGCUGCUUACGCCUCCUCCGUAAGCACCUCACUGAGUGCGUAUGCGGAUCUCCCGGGGCAUCACCUGAGGUUUACCGUUGACCUUAUCGCUACCCCACCAGUCUCAUCAUAUCCUGAGGAGCCUACCUCAGGAGAUGACGAGUGGGCCAGUGCUGACUUCUCCGGUCUUGGUGACCCGGAGACCUUCAUGCGCUUCCUUGAGGCAAGCAGCUAUUGCCUCGGCUACUUCGACUCUGAUGGAGACGAUUAUGAUCCAUCAUGAGAAUGCUUCAACCUCAAGGUCGACAGAGCAGCCCCGGAUGCCCAAGGCGGCACAGGACCCUCUGAGCGGUUGAACGUGACUCCCCCUCCCAACAUGACCCUCGAAGGUCAUCCUAGGGCUCGAGGAGCCGUGUCUGCCCCGACAGAGGCUCGACGACCUGACCUCGAAUAGCUCGAUGAGCUGGAGGCCAGGCUCAAAGAAGAAUGCGUAUGCCUCCGACAGCUACGCAAGACCCUGUAGUAGGACUAGACCGCUCGAGGAGACGGUGGGGCGGCCAGACGCCGUGCCCACGACGUCAAUUGGCCCAUUGCCGAGGACGAUGGGGGAGAUAACCCCCCAGUUUUCAGCACGGCCAGCCAGAACGUGAUGGCUGCCGCGUUGCUCCUCAGGGCAAUGCCCGAGCCAUCGACCCCUGAGGGAAGAAGAGUGCGCCAGGGGCUCCGAGGUCUCUUGGAGCAAGUAGUGGUGCAAAAUGCGGAAAUCUCUGCGUCACAGUCCCACGACACAUGGGCGAGACGCCCGGGGGAUCAACCCCCUCCUAACAAAGCACCAUCCGUGCAAGGCCCUGUGCCCCCUCCUAACAAAGCACCAUCCGCAAGGAGGCGCUAAGGCUCCAUCUGUCCACGAGCGUGUCGAGACCAACAUUGAUGGUCGAGCGACCCUCGAGGCCAGGCGCCGUGAUAGGGAUGAGGCGGGAGGCGCUAAAUCUCAAAUUAACCAUCCACGCUAAAUCUCAAAUCUACCGUUCACGCCGAGGCGGGAGAUACGACCCUGAGCACGACCACAGCACAUCGCCUGAGCCUCUGGGCCCCGCGUCUUUAGCAAUUUGAUUCGUAGCGCCAAGUUUUUGGCCCAGUUCCGGCAACCAGCAAACCUCACCAAGUACUUAGGAGAGACAAACCCUGAGCUCUCGCUUGCAGACUACUGCCUAGCAUGUCAGCUAGGUAGAGCGGAUGAUGAUUUGCUCAUCAUCCGUAACUUGCAACUACACCUGGCCGACUCAGCCAGGGCGUGGCUCGAGCAUCUCCCUGAGCAUCUGAUCCACGGCUGGGCCGACCUAGUCAGGAUCUUUGUUAGGAACUUUCAGGGUACAUACGUGUGCCCUGGGAACUCCUAGGACCUCAGGAGCUAUCGGCAAAAGCCUAAUGAGUCUCUUCGAGACUUCAUUAGCCGAUUCUCCAAGGAAUGCACUGAGCUCCCCAACAUUACAGACUCCGAUGUCAUCGGGGCCUUCAUCGCCGGUGUUGACGGUCCUUAAGUAUGAUAUAUAAUCAUCAAAUAAAUAAAGAAAAGGAUCCAAAUGCAACCAACACCCAUACUUAGGGUUUUAUCUGAUAGAAUUCCAUGAGUUUUGGUGUUUCUCUAUUUCUGCAGGGGGUUAUCAUGAAAUAUGGAGGAAAGGUCCACAUGUCGGGUUUACAUAGAGAUAUUAACAUGCUGCGCAAUUUUCUAUCAUCUAGAAGACUCUAGAAGCCACGAGAACGAACGGGAAGCCGAGCGGUCUCGGGGACAGGGCGCCCGCCCUCCCCCCUUAGGCGCCCUCCCUGGUGUUUCGGCCAAUCACGUUCUACAUCGCGGAUCAUGCUCCACCGACCUAAAGGAUCAAGGAAAACUGUGCGAUUAAUGUCAGUUUGAUCCGACGGCCCAGAUUCACUUAAGGAGACUAUAUAAGCAGGCCCCCUGGCCCCUAGAGGAGACACCCCCUUGAUCCCUAUUCAUUAUUCAUAGACAGAGCAAAAGCUAGGGUUUGGAGAUGAGAGCUCUCCUCUCUUCUCUAAACUAGAGUAGAUCUAGAUAGUAGCGAGAUGGAGAGCGAGGGAGGAUUGGAGGAGAGGCCGGCCUGUCGGUUCUUCCUCCGGUUGUACUUCGCCAUGAUCAAGCUCUAAUCAAGCUUGCUCAUGGGAUGACUCUGGUAAUCUACUUCUAUUUCAUUAUGCAAUUACUAUCCAUGUAUGUUCUGGUUCACAACUCUUUUGAGUACUUUAAUCUAUAGGACGCUAUAGGUGAGAGUUGUAGUAUAGGUGUAAGCGUGGUGCUUAGACCUAGAUUACUUGUGGAUAUCCCCUGUCUAGCCGGAUCGUGUGGUAGGCCACGUAGGUGACACUUAUGUUGGUCCCAUGUAGUCCACCUCCUGUUAGCAGGACUGGUAGGGUUUCUCGGCCUAUGGAUCAGCAUCCUUUGUGGUGUAUUCUUAUCACGUGGUAGAGAAACCAUAGUUAUCCUCUCUAUUCUCCUACCAUCGCCCAUACACUAGAUUGCUCUACUCUGUAUUCCCAUAUUAUCAUCCAUUGUUAUCUUACCUUUAAUAUUGUUCUUAUUCAAUUCUACAAUCUUUCCUAUUUACACCUAUCUAUCUAUCUAGGUUAAGUUAGAGCGUAGAUCAGUUCUCCCAUUUCCCUGUGGAUACGAUAAAACCUUUAACCGGAUAAAAGCUACAACGGUAUCCGUGCGCUUGUGGGUUUAUCUCUGUGCGUAUAAAUACCAUAGUACACUCUAGCGCCAUGCUGGGGAUGACAACCUAGUAUUCAAGUGGUGUUAGCAAGUGUCAACAAGCAUUUUUGGCGCCAUUGCCGGGGAGACGGUUGCUGAGUUGACUACAAACUAGCUUAAUCAUUUUCUGAAAAAUAAAAAAAAUAUAUUUUUCCUUUUAUCCUUUGCCUUAUCUCUGCUAUUCUUUCUUCUUAUCUAAUCCUUGAUCUCUGGUAUAUCAUGAAUUCAAACAUGUCUAUCUAUGAAUUUCAUAGACCUACGGGAACACAUCUCGAACCACCAAAAUCUUCAAAGCCUAUCAUAGCAUCUAGUUUUGAGAUAGACCCCAAAUACAUAGAAUUUGUUCAAAAACAACCUUUCUCAGGAGAAGGUGAGGAAAACCCAUACACACACCUAAGAGAGUUUUAUCGAGUCUGUGACCUCCUUCGCAUAGAAGGCAUGUCCGAUGAGACCCUUAAAUGGAAGCUCUUUCCGUUCUCUUUAACAGGCAAAGCUAGACAUUGGUAUAAACUCAAAGUAGGGAGUGUUCAUGGACAUUGUAAGGAGUUAUAUAAUAGUUUUAUUUUUAAAUAUUUUCCAAUCUCCAAAGUGGCGGAACUUCGGCAUGAGAUUAUUUCUUUUAGACAACUGGAAGAAGAUUCUCUUGACAAAUCAUGGGACCGCUUUAUUAACCUUACUCUCACUGGCCCAAAGCUUUCUAUUCCAGAAGAAGUUCUUCUAAUUCACUUUUUUGAGGGCCUUAGUAGGGAAAAUAAGCAAACCUUGAAUACAGCCUCUAGAGGAUCCUUCUAUCACCUACCUGCUAGUGAAGCUAGGGAUUUAAUUGAUUCAUUGAGUGGAAAGUUUCCUAGUGUUUAUAUCCUUGGGAAACAGAAAGAACCAGUUCCUAGACAAGAAGAAGAAGUUUUGAUAGCCAGAUCACAACCACUUGAAUCCUAAACUUUAGCUAUCGAUCCUAAACCAUCAAUACCCCAAAAUUCUCCAAGGGAGGAAGGAAUUCCGACCUUAAAUCUUUCAGAUGUUGAUGGUUUAGACUUCUGGUUCCAUAAGAGACCUUCAAGUGGGGAUAAUUCAAAUCCUUGCAAUAAUGGUUCUCUUAGAGAAUGUCCUGGUUCCUGUUAUGAAGAAGUCGAGGAUGACAUAUCAAGUGAAGGAGAGCUAAACCAUAUGGAAGAUUCUAUCUGCUCCCCUUCCAUGUUCACAAAUUCUAAAUCCAUCCUUGACCUUAGAGACCCCUCUUAUCCCUCUCCUUUUAAGUCUCAUGAUGAUCCUAGCAAUCCAUCAAGACGAUCAAACCAUAGGAGUCAUAAAGACCAUGAGGAUGACAUGUCAAGUAAUGUCCUAGAAGGAGAGCUAAGCCAUAUAGAAAAUUCUAACACCUCCCCUUUCCUGAUCACAAGUUCUAAAUGGCUAGAAUGUGUAGAAUGGAUUGAUAAGGAAGAAGCCUUAAUGGAUUCUGACUUUGGCUCAAUUUCAAAUGGUGAGUUCUUGACUCCCUUUGAAGAUGAGAUUCAUCAAACUACAAAAGAGGACAUAGGUAAGACCAAUCUAGGAGAAACUCCGAACAUUCAGAUUGGAGACGAAGAUAACAUUAAUGAGCAUGGAAUUUAUUUCAUAGACACUUCGUUUACUCUAUGCUCAUAUGCAACAUCUUCCCAAUCUAUUGGUCUCUCCAACAUCACCACAUUUGAGAUCUACAACCCCCUCUUCCUUUCUAUUUACAAAAACUUUAAAAAGGGCGGUUGUCGAUGCAUAUGUCUAUAAUAAAUAUUGCAGAUCUCAUUGAGCUAAUCUUAAUAUACAAAGGUUGGCAUAGGAGGGGAAACCACUUCGCCAACAUAAACUGAUGGUUUCCCAAGGACAAGCUUAGUGUCCUAAAAUAAGUGCUUAUCAGAUCGUAACAUGACCUUGCCAUAUUGCCUUGUGCAUUGAGCAUAUAACGAUAAUUGUGAAAAUAAUCCUUCGGGUAUUCUUGUCACUAACCUUUCCAGGAUUGGAGCAAGAAUAUCGGAUGAACGACAAGCACAAGGUAUGUCCAACCAAUCAUUAUGCAACACUGAAUUAAAUUCAUCCAAACUUGAAUUUUGCAAAAUUCAAGCUUGGGGGAGUACCUUACAUAAAAACAUCCUUUGUCAUGUUGCUAUCUUGGUUGUCCCUACCUUUGAGACAUGCUCAAUUUGUUAAACGCUAAUCAUUCUAUUUUCAUCUCCACUUGAGUAGAUCUCUAUAAUGUUGUCAUGCUACCUUUGUCUAUUCACAAGUAAGUGUUGGUUUGGAAGUACUCAACUUACUUCCAUUGGCAUUUAAAUUAAGCGUGGUGCUUAGGUUAAAUAGCCUUCCUUAAUCUGAUUAGACAUGGAGUCUAGUUUGGUUACUGAACUAAAAAACUGCUUGUGUAGACAUUGGUAUAUUUUGUCGGACUAACCCCUGCAGAAAAACUUUCAAUCUCGAUUUGGGAAGUCCUGAGAUAAACUCACAUUGGAGACAAAGAGAGAGACACAUCAAGUUUAACAAUUUACACAAGGAAGACGUAGCUCAUAAGAGAUGAUCCAUGGAGGGUGCUACGAACACGAUGCACAACUACUAAGAAAGGAAAGCUUCCACAAGGUGAUACUGUACCAUCACUCUUGAAGUAAGGUAACAUCUUAGGGUACUUGACUAUCACUUUUAUAAGCUUCUCCUUGGUUCUAGCGUUCAUAUGAAUAAAAGAGACAAACAUGUAUGAUUUACAACUCUAGGUUAACCAACCCAAUCGAUUCAACAUGUUUAGUCCUUCCACCUUUGUGAUCCUACACUUCUAAUAAUAUGAUCUAAAAUGUUGCACACUCAAUCUUUGGAAGAUAUAUAAAUAAAAAACAUAAAUAUAGAUAGAUUAUCUUUCCAUUAGGUUGAGCGAUCUAAUCUGACAAAUGUUUUAAAUACUACACUCAUGAUCUUAUUAUCCAUCAAAUUUGUCUUGCUCACUAUGCUUAAGGUUAGAGAAGAACAAAUACAGUUUUGGUUCUGUUGGUGUUUUUCACCAACAAGGCCCAUGCACUUGAUCUCUGCCUUGUCUCUAUGAGCAGGUAUACUUCGAGCAAAACAUGGAGGAGUUUUACAACUCCCAGACUCCACCAAGUGAAGGACCUGGAUCUACGAGCACAAACACACUGAGCAGGAUGCUGCCAACACCGCACUUCGAACUACUAGGCAAACGAAGAACAUGGGUGACACCAUAUCAAGAGGUGUAGAUGUCAAGGCCCACACCUAAUCAAAUGAUGCACCUAAAGGAUGAACACGGUGAGAAGUCUUGUCAAGAAGACUUAGAACAUUGGAUCCUUGCCGGAAGGUAAAAUCGGUACUUAUCCAUAUUUAUCUUUUCUGCAUUCCUUUUCCUUUUUAUUCCAUCACUUGCAUUAGCAUAUUUACUUUGCUACAUUAGCAUUAGAAAAGAACACAAAAAUAUUCAUUCGUUGCACUGCAUCAUAAAAUCUAAAGCCCCAUGUGAGUAGACUUGUGGUUUAAAACCCAUAGGUAUAUUGACUUUGGUGGCAUAAAAUAAAUAUGUUUUCAUCUUACAAUAAAAAUAUAAAAAUAAUAAGUGCAUGAUCUUGCUAAAUAAAUAAAAUUUAUUAGAAGGAAUCUCAAUAUGAUAAAGCCUAAGAGAUUUUAUGCUAACACUUAACCAGUUCGACAAUGCUUUGUUGUCUAUUUGAGCUCCACAGAAUUCAAGGGUCAAAGAAGACUAGCCGGCGGAGGACAUAGUAAUCGCUGUCAGGGUACUGUCGACAUUCAAAUACUCCUCCGUCACCUGCUAGCUACAUCAGAAUAAAUUACGUCAAAAUCCAGCUUGGGGGAGAGCACCCCCAUUUAUCCAGCUAAGUGUUUCUAGUCGCGUUUAUACUUUACUCAAAUAAUAAAAAGAUGCAUAAUCAUAAAAACCCAAAUAAAGAUUUUGUGCUUGUAUAUAUAUCUUUGCUUAGUUUGCUAAAUAAAUAAAUAAAUAAAGUUUGCUAUGAACCCUCAUGAUAAGCUCUCACAUAGAUAUGAUGAAUAGUUGCUCUGCCAAUUACCUAGUUUUCAAAUUUGAGCUCUCUCUCAAGUUUAGGCAUGACUGUUAUGAAUUAAAAUUUGCUCUAAACCUGAACUUAUGGGAAGAGUACUUGAUCUAAAGUCUAAGUCCUUAACGGAUAUGAUAUGGGAAGGGUGAGCUGCUGUUUAUCUAUUCCUAGAGAUGCUACAAUUCUGCAGAUUUUUAAAAUGUUGCAUGCAUGAGUUCCUGUAUGAUGAGAGUUUAAAAUCCUACCACAGCCAUAUAUACAUGCUUGUUAGACUAUGAACCAUACAUGUACUUUUUACUGCUUAUGAGCAUUGAGUGUGGUCAAGCUGUGUAGACCCUUAGGAGCUUGUCAUGCGGUUAAAAUCAAGAUUCACUUGCACGUUCACUCAUACAUGCUGCUUCUACUCUGGAAGUACGCAUCCACAUACAUCCACUCAUUUCCAUCUCUAGAUUCACCCAAAAUUAUUCUACUCCUAUCCAGGAGAGAAUAGCCAAAAACAUUAUCCCAUCCCUGUUAUUCCCUGUGAAAUAAAUGCUCGAGAUAUUUUGGUUACUACCACUUGCUACAUUAUUCCAGGAGGGUGAGUGCUCUGAAAAAAAGUGAAUACGAGGAAAUAAGAAGGGGCAAGUGCCUGAAACCUCGAAGAAAAGAAAAAGUGAGACGAGAGGUAAAAAUGGACAAGUGUCCGACAGUAGAAUUAGGGGUACAAGAUACCCACUUGAGAGAAAAGAAAAAAAAGAAAAUAUAGAGCAUUUCAUUCCCCUCAAAAAGCUUCAAAGUGCAAGAAAGGUAUGUAUCCCCUCAAAAGAUCAAAAGUAGAAUUAGACUUUCACCAUUGUUUUCACCAUUAUCACCAUCAUCACCAUACACCAUUCAUUCGCCACACAUGCACAUCUUGAUUUGACUUAUUGACUUGUUGCUCUGGAUCCAUGGUUUGACUAUGCAAUAAAUGUCUUGUAAGUAUGUAUUAGCUGUCUCCCACCUAUGAGCUCCAGAUAUCAAAACCUUAUUAGAGUAGGGUGAGAGAGAAAGCAAUGUCACUAUGCCUCAUACCAAAAAUACCACAUACUUUGAGAGAAUGCAUAUAUCAUUACUGCCUUGGUAAGGAUCCAGAAAUACCACAAAAGAGAGAAUUGAGAGAGUCAUACAAGGAAUCUCUGAGUUUUAUUUUGAAAAUCUACAAAAACUCUAGAGCUACAGUUGAUCAAAGAACAAGAGACAUGGCACUUGACUUGACCGUUCUAUCUUUUAACUACUCAAGACACAAGUGACGGUUGCCAGCCCCAUGGUGGAAGGAAAAAUGAGUAAGUUUAAAUCUUAACAGUUUACCCUAACAAAGAGAUGAGAUUUUGUUUGAAUGCAUAUAUACCUUUACGGCAUAAAACCACUGCAGAAACUCUUGAGUCCAUCCUUGCUCACGGAUGAGCAAGAGGUAAGCUUGGGGGAGUUGUUGACGGUCCUUAAGUACCAAAUAUAAUCAUCAAAUAAAUAAAGAAAAGGAUCCAAAUGCAACCAACACCCAGACUUACGGUUUUAUCUGACAGAAUUCCAUGAGUUUUGGUGUUUGUCUAUUUCUGCAGGGAGUUAUCAUAAAAUAUGGAGGAAAGGCCCACAUGUCGGGUUUACAUAGAGAUAGUAACGUGCCGCGUAAUUUUCUAUCAUCUAGAAGACUCUAGAAGCCACGAGAACGAACGGGAAGCCGAGCGGGCUCGGGGACAGGGCGCCCGUCCUCCCCCCUUGGGCGCCCACCCUGGUGUUUCGGCCAAUCACGUUCUACUUCACGGAUCAUGCUCCACCAACUUAAACGAUCAAGGAAAACCGUGCGAUUAAUGUCGGUUUGAUCCGACGGCCCAGAUUCACUUGAGGGGACUAUAUAAGCAGGCCCCUUGGCCCCUGGAGGAGACACACCCUUGAUCCCUAUUCAUUAUUCAUAGACAGAGCAAAAGCUAGGGUUUGGAGAUGAGAGCUCUCAUCUCUUCUCUAAACUAGAGUAGAUCUAGAUAGUAGCGAGAUGGAGAGCGAUGGAGGAUUGGAGGAGAGUCCGGCCUAUCGGUUCUUCUUCUGGUUGUACUUCGCCAUGAUCAAGCUCUAAUCAAGCUUGCUCAUGGGAUGACUCUGGUAAUCUACUUCUAUUUCAUUAUGCAAUUACUAUCCAUGUAUGUUCUGGUUCACAACUCUUUUGAGUACUUUAAUCUAUAGGACGCUAUAGGUGAGAGUUGUAGUAUAGGUGUAAGCGUGGUGUUUAGACCUAGAUUACUUGUGGAUAUUCCCUGUCUAGCCGGAUCGUGUGGCAGGCCGCGUAGGUGACAGUUACGUUGGUCCCAUGUAGUCCACCUCCUGUUAGCAGGACUGGUAGGGUUUAUCGGCCUAUGGAUAAGUAUCCUUUGUGGUGUAUUCUUAUCACGUGGUUCGUCCCAGACAUAGACAUACCCCUUUGAAGUAGAGAAACCAUAGUUAUCCUCUCUAUUCUCCUACCAUCGCCCAUAUACUAGAUUGCUCUACUCUCUAUUCCCAUAUUAUCACCCACUGUUAUCUUACCUUUAAUAUUGUUCUUAUUCAAUUCUACCAUCUUUCCUAUUUACACCUAUCUAUCUAUCUAGGUUAAGUUAGAGCAUAGAUUAGUUCUCCCGUUUCCCUAUGGUUACGAUAAAUCCUUUAACCGAGUAAAAGCUACAACGGUAUCCGUGCGCUUGCGGGUUUAUCUGUGUGUGUAUAAAUACCAUAGUACACUCUAGUGCCAUGCUGGGGAUGACAACCUAGUAUUCAAGUGGUGUUAGCAAGUGUCAAUAGCCGGCACCACUUGCAAGGAGUUGGUGCAUGAGCUUGGGCGCAAGACUGUUGAUAUUUGGGAACGCAAUAAGGAAUUGAUCCGCAAGCGCACGGAUAUCGGUGAGCACUUCACCCGGGAAAAUAUCUAGAGCAUCGUAUUUAUUUUUUACCACUAGGAGAAAGAGUGCAUCUGACUAACCGGUCUAUUACUACUAACCCUUUAGGCACAAAGAAUGUCUUUCGAUGUGAGUGAUAAAUAGAGAAGACUGCAACCGUAGUCUCCUUCUAACCUUGGUAAGGAUGAUCUACUGUUCUAUUGGGGAGGCUAACGGAAUCUAGACACCACAAAGGAUGUUCAACCCGCACCUAUAAACCCAAUCCUUCCUGCUAAGAUAUGGUCUGCAAAGGUAACUCGGAAUUGUCACGUUCCUCACUACUACCACGGUCCAGCUAGUCAGGGAAUAUCUAUGAGUACCCCAGCCUAAACACCACGUUUACGCCAGCAAUGAUUACUCUACUCUACACGAAGAGAUUAAAGUAAACUCAUAAACCAGAAGAACAAUAAAACAAGAACUUACUAGAAUUUAGAAGUCGAAAUACUGAAGAAUCCUAGGAGCAAGCUUCGGGUUAGGAGAACUUGAUCCUGCAGGUACAAGCUUGGAGUAGACACCGACAGGCCGGACUUCCUCCAAUCUACACCUCCACUCUAUCUCUCUCAAUCUAGUAGAAAAUAGAAGAUCUAUUUCUACUUUAUAUUGGUUGCUAAGCCUAAAAAGAAAUAUUAAUUAGAGAAGAGGUUUUCCUUCGAGGGCACCCCUCAAUCUCUAUGAUAAUUUCUUCAUGUCUUCUCCAGGGGCCAGGGGGGUCUCCUUAUAUAGUCCUCCUCCUCUAUGCGUUUUUGGGUCGGUAGGCGAGGUGGUACUAUGUUUUCCUUGAUCCAAUUGGUCGGUGGAAUAUCCCGUGCGAAGAGAGUCCCGAUUGGCAUCCAACAGGGGGCGGGCGCCCAGGUCACCAGGGCGGGCGCCCUGGGCCUGGCCCCUUUCGGCCUCUGUUUUCUUCCCGUGGCUUCUGGAGUCUUCUAGAUGGUAGAAAAUCGUGCGGUGCGUUGAUAUCUCUAUGUAAUCCCGACAUGUGGGCCUUUCUUCCUUAUUUCCUGAUAACCCCAUGCAGAUAUAGAUAAACAACAAAACUCGUGGAAUUCUGUCAGAUCAAACCCUAAUUCUAGGUGUUGUUUGCAUAUUGGUCCUUUCUCUUGUUUAUUUGAUAAUUAAAAUUGGUACUUAAGAACCGUCAACAAAUACCCCCAUACUUAGGCUUUUACUCGUCCUCGAGAAAAGGAUGGUUAAGAAAAAUAUCUGGGGUAAACAUUUAAAACAUUCUUUUUAUAAUUGCAGGGUGUUAAAAAUCCACUGUGUACCAUAGUCAGGGAAGUAUAUGGUUAAGAGUAAAGAUCCUUUCUUCUCAAUCCUGUCACUUGGAGUUUUGGUAUAUUUUUUAAAGAAAGUUAGCAUACCUUUUUAUCCUCAUAGGUCCUUUUUAUAUGUCUCACUGAGGUUGUUUUAAUUUGCAAAAGUUCUAAGCAUACAUACUUUGCAUUUAUUGCCUGAUCAAAACGGGAUCCGAGGAGGGGAAUGUCAUACUCUUAGAUCAAAGACCUUGGAAAUUAAAAUCUUUGUCAACUCUUGCAAGCAUAUUGCUUAUUAGAGGGACCAUGGGCUAUCAUUUUCUCUUUUUCUUCUCUUUUUUUUAAGUGGAUACGGAGGUAUCCCUAAUUCUACUGCCGGACACUUGACCAUUUUUUCUGCGAGGUUGUCGAGCACUUGCUCCUUUUUAUUUCCUCGAAAUAUCUUUAUUUUUGCAUAGCCCAUGCCUCUAAUGCAAUAAUACUUCAGAAGAGUGAAUCUUUCUGAAUAAAUGUCUUGAUCUUAGGAGCAUGAUAAAUCUCUCAACAAGGGUCUAACUCAUUUUGAACAAACUCAAAACAGAGUAGAUAGCUUUUAUAAUCAUAAUUAAUAUUUUCAGUUUUAUCAGGCAUAUAAAACACUGAGGAUGGUAGCUAAAAUUUUGAAUAUUUUGAAAUAAAUUCUCCAAGUAGCAAUGAUAUCAAGAAUAAGAAACUCAUAUUCUACCAUCACAUAUUCCAUAUUGACUUAAGUAACACAGGGUUUUAAAAUAAUUUUAUAAUAAUUGCAAGUUUUCAGGAAUCAUGAUUAGAAAUAUUUUAAUCUUUUUAUUUUAUCAUGUCGGAAAAAGUAUUCUGCAUAAUCCAAAAUAUAUGUAUGUGUAAAGUAAAGUGUCCAGAGUGUGUACCUGAAUCGUGGAGUGAUGUGGUCGGAGUGUGUUUAGCAUGUCGAGGGAUCUCCCCCAUACUUGUUUUCUGCUUUCUUGCACAAAAAUAAAGUAGAGACACACAAGACAUAAUAAUAAUAAUACUCUUUAUUAAUCUUGAGGCAUUUAUUACAAAAGACUAGUAGCAAACUGACGAUAGUAGCAAACUGAUGAUAAUAGUAAACCUAAACUGAAUUUAAAGAUAAAUGACAAAGAUGCAUUGCCUCAAGGUCUAAUCUAGAUAACUUAGCGGCGCUCUAAUUCCUUAAUCUUCUUGUUGCCUCUGGCAAGAUCCUGCCUAAGGCCUAGUAUAAUGGUGUUGUGGUUAGAGAGCUGCCUAGUGAGGGAAUUAAUCGAGGACUGGAGAUCUAUGAUAAUUCUAUCUAGUCUGUGAACGUCCUCAUCAAUAUCCAUUAUAGUCUUGCGACGCUUGGGAGGUGUCUCAAAAGCAUUGAGAGCGUGCUUCGGGGCUACCUUUGGAGGGAUGAAACGGACUUUGGCUGCUCUAAUCCCUUCAAAGUAAGGUCUUUCCUCCUCCGUAGUGUAGCGAACGCUGCUGAUCUCGCCACUUCGGUUGGUCUUGACUCCAACGACCCUCUCAUUGGGUCUAGGUGGAAGGAUCCUCGUGCCGGUUGGCACCUUGAUAGUGGUCUUCGUCUUGGAUGAUGAUCUCGUGAGGAGUAGGGAUUGUGGCGGUGCGGUGAGAACUGGUUGAGCAUGAUAGGAUUGGGCAGAGCUGCGCUGGCGUAAUGGCAUGGCUUCUAGCUGUCGCUCUGUGUUGGCCGGGACGAGAGCACGGGCAUCGGGGUCUUCCACAGGCUCCAUGUUGAGGUUGAAGGGGACGACUUCCCAAUCAUCGUGGUACUUCUCGGCCAUUGGAGCAGCAAGGAACUAAUCAAGCUCUAAUUGAAGAAGAAGAGAAGGCUUGAUGGCUUGGUAUUUGAAAACUGAGGUCAGGGGUCUGUUUAUAUAGGGGUCAAAAAGUGCCUCUAUGGGUUGUUCGGGUUGCUCCCGUCGAUGUGCGUGCGAAACUUUCCAUCUUAGGGAUUAUUCGGAUUACCAUAAGUGCAUUUUCCAUAACAGAGAAAAUCGGGACCGAGGUGGAACAGGAGCUGGGCGCCCGCCCACCUGAGCUGGGCGCCCGCCCUCUCUCUGGCCCCUCUGUGGGCCCACUUUCUCGAGCGUGUUUCUAGAUGCAAAACUAUUUAGAAAAAUAUAUGUAUGACCCAAUAACAUCAGACUAAAAAGGUCAGGCUCUAAUUCUCCAUGGGAAGGUAAAAGUGGACUACGUCUAUUUCUUCUAAUUCUUUAUUGGGCUCUAAAAAUAAUUUAAGAUGUUGACCAUUUACCAUGAAUAACGUACCUUCGCCAUUUUGAAGUGUGAUAGCUCCGUGGGAUGAUGAAUUAAUUACCUUGAAUGGUCCUUCCCAUUUGCUCUGGAGUUUCCCAUGCCCGAAAAGCUUUACCCUGGAAUUAAAAAGUAAUACCUUAUCUCCGGGUGUGAACUCCUUCUUCUUGAUUCUCUUGUCAUGCCACCUUUUGACUCUUUCUUUGUAGAUCUUUGAAUUGUGAUAUGCUUUCUCUCGCCAUUCUUCCAAUUCUGAUAGUUGCAUUCUUCUAUAAUCUCCAGCAACAUCUAGGUCCAUAUUCCAUCUCUUUAUGGCCCAGUGUGCUUUGAACUCUAGUUCAAUAGGUAGAUGACAAGUCUUCCCGUACACCAAUUGGUAUGGAGACAUUCCGAUUGGGGUCUUGUAUGCUGUCCGGUAUGCCCAGAGUGCAUCGAGUAACUUGUCGUUCCACGCCGUUCCCAUUUCAUUUACUAUCUUCUGAAGAAUAUUCUUGAUUUGUUUGUUGGAAGUCUCUGCUUGGCCACUUGUCUGAGGAUGAUAAGGGGUAGCGACGUUGUGACGGAUUCCAUGCUUUGCUAGAUAUUGCUUGAAGCGUUUGUCGAUGAAGUGUGCUCCUCCAUCACUUAUCACUACUCUGGGGACUCCAAAUCUUGGAAAUAUAAUUUCUUCAAACAUCCUCUUUGAACUGAUGUUUUUGGCAUGCUUGCAAGGUAAUGCCUCUACCCACUUGGAGACAUAGUCAACUGCCACCAAGAUGUACUCACACUUCUUUGAUGGAGGAAAUGGACCCAUGUAGUCUAUUCCCCAGACAUCAAAGAGCUCAAUCUGAAGGUUGUUGGUGAGUGGCAUUGCAUCCCUUGUAUUUAUGUUUCCGUGCCUUUGACAUGGCCCACAUCUUCUGAUAUAUUGCUUCGUGUCUUCAUACAUUGUAGGCCAGUAGAAUCCACACUGCCAGAUCUUUGAAUGUGUACGGAAUGCUCCAUAGUGACCUCCAUAUGGUGAUGAAUGACAUCUGUCGAUGAUCUUCCAUCCUUCCUCAGUGGUCACACAUCUCCUGAGUAAGCCAUCAGAACAUACUCGGAAGAGGUAUGGCUCAUCCCAUAUAUGUGAAUGACUUUCUUGAAUAAGCUUCUUCUUGUUUGCUCCUGGUGGUACAUACCCUGAAACCAUAAAAUAACAAUAUCUGCAUACCAGGGGUCAGACCUGUUAAUCCCGUAGAGCAUGUCGUCCCAGAGUGAAUCAUUGAUGGGGGUUUCCUGUGGACUCUUAAAAUACAUUCUAGACAAGUGAUCAGCAACAGAAUUUUCUACUCCCUUUUUAUCUUUUAUUUCUAAGUCAAAUUCUUGGAAUAAUAAGAUCCAUCUAAUCAGGCGAGGUUUAGCAUCUUUUUUAGUGAGCAAAUAUUUUAGUGCAGCAUGAUCAGUGUAAACAAUUAUUUUAGCUCCAACUAAAUAAGAUCUAAAUUUAUCAAUGGCAAAGACAACAGCCAGAAGCUCUUUUUCAGCGGUUGCAUAGUUAAGUUGAGCUCCUGUCAAAGUUUUACUGGCGUAAGCAAUUGCAUGAUGCUUCUUAUUUUUAGUUUGUCCCAAUACUGCCCCCACAGCAUAAUCACUAGCAUCACAAAUAAUUUCAAAAGGCAACGACCAAUCAGGGGGUUGAAUGAUUGGUGCAGAGAUGAGUGCUUUCUUUAAUAAAUUGAAAGAUGUUAGACAUGCAUCAUCAAAUUCGAAAGGAGCAUCUUUGGCUAGCAAAAGAGUAAGUGUUCUAGCAAUAAAUGAAAAAUCUUUUAUGAAUCUACGAUAAAAACCAGCAUGGCCAAGAAAACUUCGAAUUCCUUUUAUAUUCACAGGUGGAGGUAAUUGUUCAAUUACUUCAAUUUUAGCUUUGUCUACCUCAAUACCACUUUCAGACACUAGGUGUCCCAGCACUAUUCUUUCUCUAACCAUAAAAUGACAUUUUUCCCAAUUAAGGACUAAGUGCUUUUCUUCACAUCUUUGCAAAACCUUGUCUAAGUUUUCAAGACAACUAUCAAAAGUUUUUCCAUAAACAGAGAAAUCAUCCAUGAAAACUUCCAUAAUCUCUUCAAUCAUAUCAGAAAAUAUAGACAUCAUGCAUCUUUGAAAAGAAGCUGGUGCAUUACAUAACCCAAAAGACAUUCUACGGUAAGCAUAAGUUCCAUAUGGGCAUGUAAAAGUGAUUUUGCUUUGAUCAUCGGGAUGGAUCGGGAUUUGGUUAUAUCCUGAAUAUCCAUCUAAGAAACAGAAGAACGAAUGGUUCGCUAAUCGCUCUAGCAUCUCAUCUAUGAAAGGUAAAGGAAAGUGAUCCUUUCUUGUGGCUUUAUUUAGUUUUCUAUAGUCUAUGCACAUCCGCCAUCCUGUGACGGUGCGUUGUGGAAUUAGCUCGUUCUUUUCAUUCAUAAUAACAGUCAUGCCUCCCUUUUUAGGCACAACUUGUACUGGGCUUACCCACUCACUGUGCGGCACAGGAUAUAUAAUCCCUGCAUGCAGCAACUUUAUAACUUCCUUUUUAACUACCUCUCUCAUAGUGUUAUUAAGUCUACGUUGGGGUUCUCGAGAAGGUGAAACAGAAGGAUCUGUUGGAAUACGAUGGGUACAAAUCAUAGGACUGAUUCCUGUAAGAUCUUGAAGUGAGUAGCCGAAAACUGAGUGAUGUUUCUCAAGAAUGGUCAUUAAUCGCAGAGUUCGCUCCUGAGUGAGUUUAUUGCUAAUGAUCACAGGAAACUCUAGAUUAUUGUUUAGGAAAGCAUAGGUAAGACCGGGUGGUAAGGUUUUAAGCUCUAUGGGGGGUCUAGGUGUUUCUGCAAACUCAUCUAAAGGUUCAGGUUCAGAAGGUUCGGUUUCUUCUUUAGUGAAGAAAGGAGUUUCGUCUUCUAAGUCUGAUUCUUCUAAAAGUUCUAGAGAUGCAGCCUUUACCUCCUCCAUAGGAUCAGGCAAAAGAUAUGACUCGGCCUUAUUGUUUAAGGAGUGUGAAAUUGUUAUUGGGAAUUUAAAGGUUUUUCCAAAAGAAAUGUGUAGCUUUCCAGUAUGACCUUCAUAAAGGAGUCUUCUAAAAGGUUGUCCUAUCAAUAGGUCGAAGUCCCAUGUAUCAAAGAUAUACAAGUUCAAAUGAACCAUGGAACCUUCUACCGUAAGAGGUAGGACAUUAAUAAUUCCAAGACUGGGGACUAAUCGUCCCGAAGAUUCCUUUAUGACUUUUGUUGUGGGGGUUAAGACAAGAUUUUUAAAUAGUUUAAGUGCAAAAGAUUCAGACAUGAGGUUGAUCCCCACAACAGGAUUAUAAAGAGCAUUAAAUCGAUCAGAAUUAUAAGCAUAGCGUAUAGUUAUAGAGGGUGUGUCCAAACGGAUCACAUCAGAGGUAAGCUCUGAUUCCUCCAACCAUUCGCUACUCAUGACUGAGAUAAGCUCUCUCAAUUGAUAUUCACUUGGCAAAUAAAUGCUAAACUGGCUGUUUUGGGGUUUGUCAAUAGAAUGGUAGUUUGAAAUAUUUCCAAAAUCGGCAAAAAGAUCGGAUUCUAUAUCCAGCAUGAAGUCCGGUGGUGGAAUUUCUUCCUCUUGUGGCUCAGAACUUGGGAUAGCUAAAGUAGAUGAAGAAUUUGGCAGAGUGUCUACUUCGGCUUCGUAGGUUUCGUCAUGAAGGGUAUUAUCCAUCUCAGCUUCUAGGAUUCUAUCUAGGAUUACUCUAGCUUCAUCAGUAGGGAUUCGAAAGAAAGAACCUCUAAACAUUGUGUGUAGCAUUUGUUUGUGAUUUUUCUAAAGACCUCGAAAAAAGUGGAAUAAAAGAACAGGGUCUUCAAGAUUAAGGUUUGGACUAGAUUCUAAAAGAUUAGAAAAACGUUUCCAGGAUUUUCCCAAAGUUUCAUUAUCUUUUUGUUUAAAAGAUAGGACUUCGAGUCUAAGGUCGGCUAUACGGUCAAGGGAAUAGAAAUCUAGACAAAAGUUGGCUCGUAAAACUCCCCAUUCACCUUAUUGUUGACUUACCUUCUGACUGUACCAUUGUCUAGCUUCUCCCCUUAAAGAAAAAGGAAAAAGCUUCCAACGUAAAGUUUUAUCAGAAAUGCCUUCAAUGUGAAGACAAUCACAUGUUUGCUCAAAAUCUCUAAUAUGAAGGUAAGGGUUUUCGUCUUCCUUUCCCGAAAAAGAUAGGUUUUGAAUCAUGGCAAUCAACCUAGAACUUAACUUAUACUGGGAUGUUUGGAUAGGCUGUGAUGACUCCCAUGGUAAAAGGUCAGUUACUGAAGGGAUUGCAGACUCAUGGAUCGAUUUGGAAUUUUGGUUUUCCAUAAGGUAAGAGUAAAGAAAAUAAAUAAAGAAUAUAAAAGAUAAGAAAAGAUAAAAGUAUAGAUACAAGCUAGUAGUAAGACUCAAGGUUAUCUCAGCAACCGUCUUUCUCCCCGGCAACGGCGCCAGAAAUGCUUGUUGAUAUUUGGGAACGCAAUAAGGAAUUGAUCCGCAAGCGCACGGAUAUCGGUGAGCACUUCACCCAGGAAAUUAUCCAGAGUAUCGUAUUUAUUUUUUUACCACUAGGAGAAAGAGUGCAUCUGACUAACCGGUCUAUUACUACUAACCCUUUAGGCACAAAGAAUGUCUUUCGAUGUGAGUGAUAAAUAGAGAAGACUGCAACCGUAGUCUCCUUCUAACCUUGGUAAGGAUGAUCUACUGUUCUAUUGGGGAGGCUAACGGAAUCUAGACACCACAAAGGAUGUUCAACCGGCACCUAUAAACCCUAUCCUUCCUGCUAACGAGAUAUGGUCUGCAAAGGUAACUCGGAAUUGUCACGUUCCUCACUACUACCACGGUCCAGCUAGUCAGGGAAUAUCUAUGAGUACCCCAGCCUAAACACCAUGUUUACGCCAGCAAUGAUUACUCUAAACUCUACGCGAAGAGAUUAAAGUAAACUCAUAAACCAGAAGAACAAUAAAACAAGAACUUACUAGAAUUUAGAAGUCAAAAUACUGAAGAAUCCUGGGAGCAAGCUUCGGGUUAGGAGAACUUGAUCCCGCAGGUACAAGCUUGGAGUAGACACCGACAGGCCGGGCUUCCUCCAAUCUACACCUCGACUCUAUCUCUCUCAAUCUAGUAGAAACUAGAAGAUCUAUUUCUACUUUACAUUGGUUGCUAAGCCUAAAAAGAAAUAUUAAUUAGAGAAGAGGUUUUCCUUCGAGGGAACCCCUCAAUCUCUAUGAUAAUUUCUUCAUGUCUUCUCCAGGGGCCAGGGGGGCCUCCUUAUAUAGUCCUCCUCCUCUAUGCGUUUUUGGGUCAGUAGGCGAGGUGGUACUAUUUUUUCCUUGAUCCAAUAGGUCGGUGGAAUAUCCCGUGCGAAGAGAGUCCCGAUUGGCAUCCAAUAGGGGGCGGGCGCCCAGGUCACCAGGGCAGGCGCCCAGGUCACCAGGGCAGGCGCCCUGGGCCUGGCCCCUUUCGGCCUCUGUUUUCUUCCCGUGGCUUCUGGAGUCUUCUAGAUGGUAGAAAAUCGUGCGGUGCGUUGAUAUCUCUAUGUAAUCCCGACAUGUGGGCCUUUCUUCCUUAUUUCCUGAUAACCCCCUGCAGAAAUAGAUAAACAACAAAACUCGUGUAAUUCUGUCAGAUCAAACCCUAAUUCUAGGUGUUGUUUGCAUAUUGGUCCUUUCUCUUGUUUAUUUGAUAAUUAAAAUUGGUACUUAAGAACCGUCAACAAAGACCCCCACGAGCACUAGCCAGUUGCUCGAUAUCGCCACCAACUUUGCCUCAGGUGAAGAGGCAGUUGGGGCAAUCUUCUCCGAUGGCAACGCCAAAGGGAAGCAGAUGGAGGCAGUUGGGGCAAUCUUCUCCACCGAGGCCUCAGGCUCCCAAGACCCUAAAAAGAGAAGAAGGGUCGCAAGGGGAAGCAGGUUGGUCGGACGACAACCUUGUCGCCACGGCAGAUCGCAAGAACCCCAAGCGAGCUCCUACUGGCCCCGGUCUCUUCAACGGGAUGUUGAAGAAGCCAUGACCCUAUCAUAGGGGCCCCACCAAGCACACCCUCGAAGAGUGCACCGUCCUGCAUCGAUUCUACACUACCAUUACAGCCAAGGAAGACGCAGAAGAGCCUCCCAUGGAAAACGACGCCGAGGGGGAAGGCUUCCCUAAGGUCAGGAACUGCCUCCUCAUCUUUGGGGGACGCACCGCUCACCUCACUACGAGUCAAAGGAAGCGUAAACUCCGAGAGGUCUGCGUGGUUAAUAUGGUCGCGCCUUCUUACCUCAAGUGGUCGAAGAAUGCCAUCACAUUCGAUCGACGAGACCACCCGGACCAGAUCCCAAAUCCUAGGAGCUAUCCGCUCAUCAUCGACCCCAUCAUUGCCGAGACGUGUCUCUCUAAGGUACUGAUGGACAGAGGCAGCGGCCUCAAUAUUCUUUACACCGAGACUUUGGCCCUCAUGGGGAUCGACAAGUCUUGGGUAAGGAAUGAUGCAUCACCAUUCUAUGGAGUGGUGCCUAGGCACCGAGCCCAUCCCCUCGGGCAGAUCAAUUUGCUCAUCUGCUUUGGGACCCCUGACAAUUUCAGGCAGAAGGUCCUCACCUUCGACGUGGUUAGGUUCCCAGGGACCUACCACGCAAUUUUGGGAAGACCAUGCUACGCUAAGUUCAUGGCCGUCCCCAACUACACCUACCUCAAGCUCAAGAUGUCGGGCCCAAAUGGCAUCAUCACCGUCAGCACGACGAGCCAGCACGCCUAUCAAUGCGACAUCGAAUGCAUUGAGUAGGCCAAGGCUAUAGUCGAGUUGGUGUCCCUCAUCACCAGCCUCGACGACAUCGACCAGGACGGGUCCCCGACCCCAAGUGUCACGCCGGAAGCUUCGAGCCGGCGGAGGAGACCAAGCUCAUCUUCCUCAACCCCGAGGUCACCGAGGGCAGGGCAUUGAGGAUCAGCUCGAGCCUCGACCCCAAAUAGGAAGCAGUGCUCGUCAACUUUCUCAGCACGAAUGCCGACAUGUUUGCGUGGAGUCCCUCAGACAUGCCGGGCAUACCGAGGGAAGUUGUCGAGCACUCCUUGGACAUCCGAGCUGGAUCCAAGCUCGUGAAGGAGUGCCUGUGCUAAUUCGAUGAAGAGAAGCGUCGGGCCAUCGGGGAGGAGAUCCACAAGCUGCUAGUGGCCGGGUUCAUCAAGGAGGUAUUCCAUUCCGAGUGGUUAGCUAACCCUAUACUAGUCAAAAAGAAAAAUGUGAAAUGGAGGAUGUGUGUAGACUAUACUAGUUUAAAUAAAGGAUGUCCUAAGAAUCCUUUUCCAUUACCUCGUAUCGACCAAAUAGUUGACUCUACUACGGUAUGUGAAACUUUAUCUUUUCUUGACGCAUACUCUGAUUACCACCAAAUCAAGAUGAUAGAGACCGACCACCUUGCUACCUCUUUCAUCACCCCUUUCGGAAUGUUUUGCUACGUCACCAUGUCGUUCGGCCUUAAAAACGUAGGAGCUACAUACCAACGAUGUAUGCUCUAGGUCUUCGGGGACCUCAUAGGAAGAACGGUAGAGGCGUACGUAGAUGACAUCAUAGUCAAGUCUAAGAAGACAAGUGGCCUUGCGGCCGACCUAGAUGAAACAUUCUGAUGCCUCAGAGCCAAAGGAAUUAGGCUGAACCCCGAGAAAUGUGUUUUCGGGGUCCCCCGAGGCAUGCUCCUCGGAUUCAUAGUCACUAAGUGGAGGAUCGAGGCCAACCCUGAGAAAGUCUCGGCCAUCACCAACAUGGGCCCUAUUGACGGUCCUUAAUGCUCACAUUUAACCAUCAACUAAUCAUGGAAAAGGAUCCAAAUGCAACCAACACCUAGACUUAGGGUUUUAUCUGACAGAAUUCCACGAGUUUUGGUGUUUAUCUAUUUCUGCAGAGGGUUAUCAGGAAAUAUGGAGGAAAGGCCCACACAUCAGGUUUACAUAGAGAUAUUAUUGUGUGCGCUAAUUUUCUAUCAUCUACAAGACUCCAGAAGCCACGAGAACGAACGGGAGGCCGAGCGGGCCCGGGGGCAGGGCGCCGGCCCUCCCCCCUUGGGCGUCCGCCCUGCCCUAGUGACCAAUCAGGGGAGGUCUCGCGGAUCGUGGUCCACCGCCUUUGAGGAUCAAGGAAAACCAUGCGAUUAAGGUCGGUUUGAUCCGACGGCCCACGUUCAUUUGGAAGGGCUAUAUAAGUAGGCCCCCUGGCCCCUGGAGAAUAUACCUCUUCUACAGAAUCAAAGCUAGGGUUUCAAUUAUUCAUCCAAGUAGAGAUGAUCCCUCUAGUUCAUCUAGUUCUAGUUCUAGUUCAUCUAGUUCUAGUUCUACAUAGUAUCUAGAAAAUAGGGAGAGAGAAGUGGAGAGCGGAGGAGGAGCCGGAUCUGUCGGAUCUUCCUCAACAUUGUACUUUUGCAGCAACUGGUUCAUUCUUCAUCGUUCUCCAAGUUCUUCAAUUCAUAAUUCCUGAGUUCUUUAAUUACUUUUAUUUACAUUCAAGUUAUUUAUUGGAUUCCCGUUUGCAUCAAGUGCUCUAGUCUUUGAAACGCUAGAAUAGUAAUUCAUAGAUUAGACGUGGUGUUUAGUCUUGCAAUUACCUGGAAUUGCACCCAAUCCUGCGGAUUGUUGUGGUAGCCCUAGGAUGGGUGUUUGUAGGACCGUAGUGAGAGCUUCCUAGCCCCCUUCUCAUCUCUUUCUGUGGUUAGUGUUCUGAUGUCCCAAAAUAAAUAAUCUUAGAAGUAAUUCUUGAUUCUUAGAUCAACUAGAGAACUCUCAGGAUACUUCCUCUCUUCCCACCAAAAAUAAUUAUAUAGUUAUCCUUGGGCGAUCUUGAAUCUUAAUUAGUACACUCACGUUCCCUGUGAAAAAUCGAUACUCUGGAAUACUCCCGGGUUAAAGUUACAACGGUAUCGGUGCGCUUACGGAUUUUUCUGUUUGCGUUUAAAAUACCCAACAAGCUUUCUGGCGCCGUUGCCGGGGAACGGUAGCUGUGCUAGUUUCGAACCAAGUCGUCCGUGUAUCCUUUUUCUUUUCCUUUUUUACCACACUCACCUUACCAAUUUCAUCAUACCACAUGGAUUUCACUCCAAACAUUAAUGAGCAUGGAAUUUAUUUCAUAGCCACUUCGUUUACUCCAUGCUCAUAUGCAACAUCUUCCCAAUCUAUUAGUCUCUCAAACAUCACCACAUUCGAGAUAUCCAACCCCCUCUUCCUUUCUAUUUAUAAAAACCUUAAAAGGGCGGUUGUCGAUGCAUAUGUCUAUAAUAAAUUUUGCAGAUCUCGUUGAGUUGAUCUUGAUAUAGGUCAGCGUUGGAGGGGAAACCACUUCGCCGACAUAAAUUGAUGGUUUCCCAAUGACAAGCCUAGUGUCCUAAAAUAAGCACUGAUCAGAUCGUAACAUGAGCUUUUAAUUAUUUGUAACAUUACCUUGUGUAUUGAGCAUAUAAGGAUAAUUGUAAAAAUAAAUCCUUCGGGUAUUCUUGUCACUAACCUUUCCAGGAUUGGAGCAAGAAGAUCAGAUGAAUGACAAGCACAAGGUAUGUCCAACCAAUCAUCAUAUAACAUUGAAUUAAAUUCAUCCGAACUUGAAUUUUGCAAAAUUCAAGCUUGGGGGAGUACUUUACAUAAAAACAUCCCUUGCCAUACUGCUAUGUUGGUUGUCCCUACCUUUGAGACAUGCUCAAUUUGUUAAAUACUAAUCACACUACUUCAUCUCCACUUGAGUAGAUCUCUAUAAAUGCUCUCUUGCUACCUUUAUUUGCUUUAGUAUAUGUCUAGGUUUGGAGUAGUUUCAUUUAUCUCUUAAUUAAGCAUGGUGCUUAGUUUAGGAAUGAUGAUCUUACUUCCAAGGGAUUUUAAAUUAAGCAUGGUGCUUAGGUUAAAAUGCCCUCCUAAAUCAAAUUAGACAUGGUGUCUAGGUUGAUUUUUGAGCCGAUAGUAUGCUAUAGUAGAUAUUGGAUAUUUUGUUGGACUAACCCCUGCAGGAAAACUUUCAAUAUCGACCUGGGAAGUCCUGAGAUAAACUCACAUUGGAGACAAAGAGAGAGACACAUGAAGGUUAACAAUUUACACAAGGAAGGCAUAGCUCACAAGAGAUGAUCUAUGGAGGGUGCCACAAACAUGAUGCACAACCGCUAAGAAAGGAAAGCUUCCACAAGGUGGUACUGUACCAUCACUCUUCAAGUAAGGUAAUAUCUUAAGGUACUUGACUAUCACUUUUAUAAAGUUUCUCCUUGGUUCUGACAUUCACAUGAAUAAAAGAGGCAAACAUGUAUGAUUUACAACUCUAGAUUAACCAACCCAAUCGAUUCAAUAUGUUUAGUCCUUCCACCUUUGUGAUCCCACACUCCUAAUCAUAUGAACUAAAAUGUUGCACACGCAAUCUUUGGAAGAUAUAUAUAAAAAAACAUAAGUAUAGAUAGAUUAUCUUUCCGUUUGGUUGAGCGAUCUGAUCUGACAAAUGUUUUAAAUGCUACACUCAAGAUUUUCUUAUCCAUCAACUUUGUCUUGCUCACUAUGCUUAAGGUUAGAGAAGAACAAAUACACUUUUGGUUCUGUUGGUGUUUUCCACCAACAGGGCCCAUGCACUUGAUCUCUGCCUUGUCUCUAUGAGCAGGUACACUUCAAGCAAAAUACGAGGGAGUUUUACAACUCCCAGACUCCACCAAGUGAAGAACCUGGAUCUACGAGCACAAACACACUGGAGAUACUGGACACUCAGGCAAUCACUGCCCUGAGAUGCUUGAGGACGUAAACUACAUCAACAACAACUACUACUACUACUACAACCGUUCUCAACAAAAUCAAGGUUGGAAUCAACAGAGGCCUAACUACUUAGGUAAUUAUCAAGGUAAUAAUUCUUACAAUAAUAAUAAUAAUUUUCUACCUCUUAGAGAGUUAGUGUCUAAUCAAGAAAAGCUAAUGGAUAACCUAUCUAAGAAAUUGGCAUCUAAUGAUAAAAUGUUAGAAAAUAUAAAUAAUAGAAUGGAUAAUUUCUCUACUGCCAUCAAGAAUCAAAUUAGCUUUAAUAAAAUGAUUGAAUCUCAGUUAAAUCAAAUAGCUGCUGUUGUUCCUGCUACUAACCCUGGUAUACCAUCGCAACCGGAAGGAUUAGAAUCUGCAAAUCUUGUAGACAUGUUUGAUGCAGGUAACUACUAGAGUAACCCCGUUGUGGAAGUAAUUACUGACCUUCUGCCGGUCAAGAGAGGCGAUCCAGGACGCCUCGUCAUCCCGAUCUCCAUCGUUAUGGUGGACUUCCUAGAAGCACUCUGCGACUUUGGCUCCAGCGUCAACAUUAUGCCCAGGUUACUCUAUGAAAAAUUCUUUAUACAUUCUUUACUAGAAACAACCAUGUUUUUGCAGCUUGCAGAUCAGACACUAAGUUUCCCAUAGGGAAUAUUGAAGAACCUCUGCGUCCGAGUUGGUACCUUGUACGCCCCAGCAGACUUCGUGGUGAUAGAGACUGGUACUGAUGAGAGGACACCCAUCAUCCUAGGGAGGCCAUUCUUGAACACCUUGGGAGCUGUCAUCUACGCUAGUGCUACCAAGAUCAGUUUCUACAUCCAGGGGAGGAAGGAGAUGUUUUUCUUCAAUAACAAGACUAUACAAAUCUCAAAGCAAUCCCGACAUGAACUAAGGAAGAGGACCAACAGGAGGAACAAGAACAAGCAAAUGUGGACCGAGUCAGCUAAGAUGGUCACUGCAGUUCAAGGAGGUCAAGAUCGUUGACUUAAGUCAUCAUUCCUGACCAAAAAGGACGACCCAAGUAUGCCAAGCAUCUAGUGCUCCAUUAAUGGAUACAACUUCCAGAAGACACUUUGCGACACCGGGUCAAGCGUCAACAUAAUGGUCGCAGUCACCUAUCAGCUCCUAUUCGGAACCAUGCCCCUAAAACCGACAUACAUUCACCUCCAGAUGGCAAAUCAGACAUUUCGAAAGAUUGAAGGUAUAGUAACUGAUGUCCCUGUCAAAAUAGACUAUUAUUUUGUCCAUACAGAUUUUCAGGUUAUUGACAUAGGAGAAGACGAGUACGAUCCACCCAUCAUCCUUGGGAGACUGUUCCUCAACACCGUUAAAGCAAUCAUCUACAUUGGAACCGGAGAAGUCCACAUGCACUUCCCCUCUAAGAAGAACAAGAAGAAGACGACACAAUCACAACCAGAGGAGGCAAAUCAUCAAGGACAGAUGGGCAGACUACGAAGGAAAAGUAGUAAGGUCUGAAGACAUAUAGCUUGAACAGAACUGUCAUGAGGAGACCGUAGCACCGAGUCAGGUGUGGAGAGAGAAGAUAGUUAUACACGAAGAGGAGGCGCCGCCGGAACCACCGACUACGCCAUCCAGCGAAUCCUAGGACGACUGAGAAAACAGAGAGUCCCGUUCGGAGGACUUAAAAACACCAAACGCCUUGUCAAGAGGUAAAUGUGGUAGUUAUCCUUUUCCUUUGAAUUAUUUAAAAUAGUUUGCUUAGUUAAUCAGGUUCAUAUCAUCUUGAAAAGAAAAUAAAAAUGUUAAAAAUAGUAAGCCCUAUGUGAGUAUGCUCAUGGCAUAAAACUCAUAAGUACAUUCACUGUGGUGGCGUAAAAAUAAAAUAAAUAUAUUCCUGUCCUAUAAAAAUGAAAAUAUAAAAAUAAAUUUAUGAUCCUAGGGAGUAAAAUUUAUUGAGGAGGCUCAACAUGAUAAAGGCUAGAUAUUUAUGCUAACACUUAACUAGUUCUACAAAGCUUUGUUGUCUAUUUGAGCUCCACAGAAUUCAAGGAUCAAAGAAGACUAGCAGACGGAGGACAUCCUAAUCGCUGUCAGGGUGCUGCCAACAUUCAAAUACACCUCCGCCACCUGCUAGCUAUAUCAGAAAAAAUUACAUCAAAAUCCAGCUUGGGGGAGAGCACCCCUAUUUAUCCAGCUAAGUGUUUUACUCAUGUUUAUACUUUACUCAAAUAAUAAAAAGAUACAUAAUCAUAAAAACCCAAAUAAAGAUUUUAUGCUUAUAUAUCUUUGUUUAGUUCGCUAAAUAAAUAAAUAAAUAAAGUUUGCUAUGAACGCUCAUGAUAAGCUCUCACAUCGAAAUGAUGAAUAGUUGCUCUGCCAUGACUAGUUCUCAAAAUUGAAAUCUCUCUCAAGUUUAGGCAUGACUGUUGUUAAUUAAGAUUUGCUCUAAACCUGAACUUGUGAGAAGAUUACUUGAUCUAAAGUCUAAGUCAUUAACGGAUACGAUAUGGGAAGGUUGAGCUGUUGUUUAUCUGUUCCUAGAGAUGCUAGAAUUAUGGAGAAUUUUAUCUUUGAAAAUCUUUAAAAUGUUGCAUGAUGAGUUCCUGUAUGAUGAGAGUUUAAAAUCCUACCACAGCCAUAUAUACAUGCUUAUUAGACUAUGAACCAUACAUUUACUUUUUACUGCAUAUGAGCAUUGAGUGUGGUCAAGCUGUGUAGACCCUUAGGAGCUUGUCAUGCGGUUAAAAUCAAGAUUCACUUGCACGUUCACUCAUACAUGUUGCUUCUACUCUGGAAGUACGCAUCCACAUACAUCCACUCAUUUCCAUAUCCAGAUUCACCCAAAAUUAUUCUACUCUUAUCUAGGAGAGAAUAGCCAAAAACAUUAUCCUGUCCCUGUUAUUCCCUGUGAAAUAAAUGCUUAAGAUAUUUUUGUUACUACCACUUGCUACAUUAUUCCAGGAGGGUGAGUGCUCUGAAAAAAAGAGUGAAUACGAGGAAAUAAAAAGGGGCAAUUGCCCGAAACCUCAAAAAAAGAAAAAUAAAAGAGAAAGAAAAAGUGAGACGAGAGGUAAAAAACGACAAGUGUCCGACAGUAGAAUUAGGGGUACAAGAUACCCACCUGAGAGAAAAGAAAAAAUAAAAUAUAGAGCAUCUCAUUCCCCUCAAAAGCCUCAAGUGCAAGGAAGGUAUGUACCCCCUCAAAAGAGCAAAAGUAGUAUUAGACUUUCACUAUUAUUUUCGCCAUUAUCACCAUUCAUUCGCCACACAUGCACAUCUUGGUUUGACUUAUUGACUUGUUCUUCUGGAUCCAUGGUUUGACUAUGCAAUAAAUAUCUUGUAAGUAUGUAUUUGCUGUCUCCCACCUAUGAGCUCCAGAUAUCAAAACCUUGUUAGAGUAGGGUGAGAGAGAAGGUAAUGCCACUAUGCCUCAUACCAAAAAUACCACAUACUUUGAGAGAAGGCAUACACCAUUACUGCCUUGGUAAGGAUCUAGAAAUAUCACAAAAGAGAGACUAGAGAGAGUCAUACAAGGAAUCUCUGAGUUUUAUUUAAAAAUCUACAAAAACUCCAUAUCUAUAGUUAAUCGAAGAACAAGAGACAUGGUGCUUGACUAGACCGUUCUAUCUUUUAACUACUCAAGACACAAGUGACGGUUGCAAGCCCCAUGGUGUAAGGAAAAAUGAGUAAGUUUAUGUCUUAACAGUUUACCCUAAUCCAGAGAUGAGAUUUUGUUUAAACGCAUGUACACCUUUAAGGCAUGAAACCACUGC
rnacentral:lncRNA from 1 species